rnacentral:lncRNA from 1 species
UGGUACUCCUAGGUGAAGAGGCUCAAAUGGAUGCUUGGUUCGGUCUGUUUAGAGAUAAUGCUAAUCUUGAUGCAAGAUAGGUGCACGAUUUGCAUGGAACAUACCAUAUGCUUAGAAAUCAAUUUGGAUACACCAGAUGGAACUCCUAGAUGACAUGUGUCAUAUGGAAUCUCACUUUGGUCCGUUUAGAGACAGUGUUAGUUCCGGUGCAAGAUAGGUGCACGGUUUGCACCUAAUGCAUCAUAGGAUAAGAAACCAUUUCAAACUCACCCGAUGGUACUCCUAGGUCAAGGGGCUCAAGUGAGAGCUCGGUUUGCUCUGUUUGGAGAUAGUGCUAAUCUUGAUGCAAGAUAGAUGCACGGUUUGCAUGGAACAUAUGAUAUGCUCAGAAAUCAAUUAGGACGCACCUGAUAUAACUCCUUGAGGAUGUGUGUCAUAUGGAAUCUUGCUUCGGUUCGUUUAGAGACUGUGUUAGUUUUGGUAGAAGAUAUGUGCACGGUUUACGCCUAAUGCACCAUAGGCUAAGAAACCAUUUUAGACGCACCCGAUGGUACUCGUAGUUGAAGAGGCUCAAGUGGAGGCUCGAUUUGGUCUGUUCGGAUAUAGUGCUAAUCUUGAUGCAAGAUAGUUGCACAGUUUGCAUGGAACAUACCAUAUGUUAAGAAGUUAAUUUGGACGCACCAAAUGGAACUCCUAGAUGACGUGUGUCAUAUGGAAUCUCGCUUCGGUCUGUUUGGAGACAAUGUUAGUUUUGGUGCAAGAUAGGUGCAUAGUUUGUGCCUAAUGCACCAUAGUCUUAGAAACCAUUUUUUAUGCACCUGUUUGUACUCCUAGAUGAAGAGGCUCAAGUGGAAGCUCGGUUCGGUCUGUUUGGAGAUAGUGCUAAUCUUGAUGCAAGAUAGGUGCACGGUUUGCAUGGAACAUAUCAUAUGCUUGGAAAUCAAUUUGGAUGCACCUGACGAAACUCCUUGAUGACAUGUGUCAUAUAGAGUCUCACUUUGGUCUGUUUAGAAAUAGUGUUCGUUUCGGUGUAAGAUAUGUGCAUUGUUUGCGCCUAAUGCACCAUAGUCUAAGAAACCAUUUUGGAAGCACCUGUUGGAUCUUUGGUGAAGAGGCUCAAGUGGAAGCUCGGUUUUAUCUGUUUAGAUAUAGUGCUAAUCUUGAUGCAAGAUAGGUGCAUGAUUUGCAAGGAACAUACCAUAUACUUAGAAAUCAAUUUGGACGCACCCAAUGGAACUCCUAGAUGACGUGUGUCAUAUGGAAUCUUGCUUCGGUCUGUUUGGAGACAGUGUUAGUUUUGGUAGAAGAUAUGUGCAUGGUUUACGCCUAAUGCACCAUAGGCUAAGAAACCAUUUUAGAUGCACCCGAUGGUACUCGUAGUUGAAGAGGCUCAAGUGGAGGCUCGAUUUGGUCUGUUCGGAUAUAGUGCUAAUCUUGAUGCAAGAUAGUUGCAUAGUUUGCAAGGAACGUACCAUAUGUUAAGAAAUCAAUUUGGACGCACCCAAUGGAACUCCUAGAUGACGUGUGUCAUAUGGAAUCUUGCUUCGGUCUGUUUGGAGACAUUGUUAGUUUUGGUGCAAGACAGGUGCAUAGUUUGCGCCUAAUGCACCAAUGUCUAAGAAACCAUUUUGGACGCACCCGAUGGUACUCCUAGGUAAAAGGCUCAAGUGAAAGCUCGAUUUGGUCUAUUUGGAGAUAGUGCUAAUCUUCAUGCAAGAUAGAUGCACGGUCUGCAUGGAACAUACCAUAUGCUUAGAAAGUAAUUUGGACACACCCGAUAGAACUCCUUGAUGACGUGUGUCAUAUGGAAUCUCGAUUUGGUGUGCUUAGAGACAAUAUUAGUUUCGGUGCAAGAUAUGUGCACGGUUUGCGCCUAAUGCACCAAAGUCUAAGAAACCAUUUUGGAAGCACCUGUUGGUACUCCUAGGUCAAGGGGCUAAAGUGAAAGCUUGGUUUGGUCUGUUUGGAGAUAGUGCUAAUCUUGAUGCAAGAUAGAUACACUAUUUACAUGGAACAUACGAUAUGCUCAGAAAUCAAUUAGGACGCACCUAAUAUAACUCCUUGAUGAUGUGUGUCAUAUGGAAUCUUGCUUUGGUUCGUUUAGAGACAGUGUUAGUUUCGGUGCAAGAUAGGUGCACGGUUUACACCUAAUGCACCAUAGGCUAAGAAACCAUUUUAGACGCAGCCGAUGAUACUUGUAGUUGAAGAGGCUCAAUUGGAGGCUCAAUUUGGUCUGUUUGGAUAUAGUGCUAAUCUUGAUGCAAGAUAGUUGCACAGUUUGCAUGGAACAUACCAUAUGUUAAGAAAUCAAUUUGGACGCACCCAAUGGAACUCCUAGAUGACGUGCGUCAUAUGGAAUCUCGCUUCGGUCUGUUUGGAGACAAUGUUAGUUUUGGUGCAAGAUAGGUGCAUAGUUUGUGCCUAAUGCACAAUAGUCUAAGAUACCAUUUUUGACGGACCUGUUUGUACUCCUGGAUGAAGAGGCUCAAGUGGAAGCUCUGUUUCAUCUGUUUGGAGAUAGUGCUAAUCUUGAUGCAAGAUAGGUGCAUGAUUUGCACGGAACAUACCAUAUGCUUAGAAAUCAAUUUAGACGCACCCAAUGGAACUCCUAGAUGACGUGUGUCAUAUGGAAUCUUGAUUCGGUCCAUUUGUAGACAUUGUAAGUUUUAGCGCAAGAUAGGUGCACAGUUUGCGCCUAAUGCACCAUAGUCUCAGAAACCAUUUUGGAUGCACUAUUUGGUACUCCUGGGUGAAGAGGCUCAAGUGGAAGCUUGGUUCGAUCAGUUUGGAGAUAGUGCUAAUCCUUAUGCACGGUAGGUGCAUGGUUUGCAUGGAACAUACCAUAUGCUUGGAAAUCAAUUUGGAUGCACCCGAUGGAACUCCUUGAUGACGUGUGUCAUAUGGAAUCUCGCUUCGGUCCAUUUGGAGACAUUGUUAGUUUCGGUGCACGAUAGGUGCAUAGUUUGCACCUAAUGCACCAUAGUGUAAGAAACCAUUUUGGACGCACUUGUUGGUACUCCUAGGUGAAGGGGCUCAAGUGGAUGCUCGGUUCGGUCUGUUUGGAGAUUGUGCUAAUCUUGAUGCAAAAUAGGUGCACGGUUUGCAUGGAACGUACCAAAUGCUUGGAAAUCAAUCUAGAUGCACAUGAUGGAACUCCUAGAUGACAUGUGUCAUACGAAAUCUUGCUUCGGUCUAUUUGGAGACAGUGUUAGUUUUGGUUCAAUAUAGGUGCAAGAUUUGCACAUAAUGCAGCAUAGGCUAAGAAACCAUUUUGGACGCACCUGAUAGUACUCCUAGGUAAAUGGAUCAAGUGAAAGCUCGGUUUGGUCUAUUUCGAGAUAGUGCUAAUCUUGAUGCAAGAUAAAUGCAUGGUCUGCAUGGAACGUACCAUAUGCUUAGAAAUUAAUUUGGACACACCCGAUAGAACUCCUUGAUGACGUGUGUCAUAUGGAAUCUUGCUUUGGUGUGCUCACAGACAGUAUUAGUUCUGAAGCAAGAUAUGUGCAUGGUUUGCGCCUAAUGCACCAAAGUCUAAGAAACCAUUUUGGAAGCACCUGUUGGUACUCCUAGGUUAAGAGGCUCAAGUGGAGGCUCGGUUCGGUCUGUUCAGAGAUAGUGUUAAUCUUGAUGCAAGAUAGGUGCACGAUUUGCAUGGAACAUACCAUAUACUCAGAAAUCAAUUUUGAUGCACCAGAUGGAACUCCUAGAUGACAUGUGUCAUAUGGAAUCUCUCUUUGGUCCGUUUAGAGACAGUGUUAGUUUCCAUGCAAGAAGGUGCACGGUUUGCACCUAAUGCACCAUAGGAUAAGAAACCAUUUUGGACGCACCCGAUGGUACUCCUAGGAUAAGGGGCUCAAGUAAAAGCUCGGUUUGAUCUAUUUCGAGAUAGUGCUAAUCUUGAUGCAAGAUAGAUGCAUGGUUUGCAUGGAACAUACGGUAUGCUCAGAAAUCAAUUAGGACGCACCUGAUAUAACUCCUUGAUGAUGUGUCAUAUGGAAUCUUACUUCGACUCAUUUAGAGACAGUGUUAGUUUUGGUAGAAGAUAUGUGCACGGUUUACGCCUAAUGCACCAUAGGCUAAGAAACCAUUUUAGACGCACCCGAUGGUAGUCGUAGUUGAAGAGGCUCAAGUGGAGGCUCCAUUUGGUCUGUUCGGAUAUAGUGCUAAUCUUGAUGCAAGAUAGUUGCAUAGUUUGCAUGGAACGUGCCAUAUGUUAAGAAAUCAAUUUGGACGUACCCAAUGGAACUGCUAGAUGACGUGUGUCAUAUGGAAUCUUGCUUCGGUCUGUUUGGAGACUAUGUUAGUUUCGGUGCAAGAUAGGUGCAUAGUUUGUGCCUAAUGCACCAUAGUCUAAGAAACCAUUUUUGACGCACCUAUUUGUACUCCUAGAUGUAGAGGCUCGAGUCGAAGCUCGGUUCGGUCUGUUUGGAGAUAGUGCUAAUCUUGAUGCAAGAUAGGUGCACGGUUUGCAUGGAACGUACCAUAUGCUUGGAAAUCCAUUUGGAUGCACCCGAUGGAACUCCUUGGUGACGUGUGUCAUAUGGAAUCUCGCUUUGGUCUGUUUAGAAAUAGUGUUAGUUUCCAUGCAAGAUAUGUUUAUGGUUUGCGCCUAAUGCACCAUAGUCUAAGAAACCAUUUUUGGAAGCACCUGUUGGUUCUCCUAGGUGAAGAGGCUCAAGUGGAGGCUCGGUUCGGUAUCUUUAGAGAUAGUGCUAAUCUUGAUGCAAUAGGUGUACGAUUUGCAUGGAACAUACCAUAUGCUCAGAGAUCAAUUUGGACGCACCAAAUGGAACUCCUAGAUGACAAAUGUCAUAUGGAAUCUCCCUUCGGUCCGUUUAGAGACAAUGUUAGUUUCGGUGCAAGAUAGGUGCACGGUUUGCACCUAAUGCACCAUAGGAUAAGAAACCAUUUUGGACGCACCUGAUGGUACUCGUAGGUCAAGGGGCUCAAGUGAAAGCUCGGAUUGGUCUGUUUGGAGAUAGUUCUAAUCUUGAUGCAUGAUAGAUGCACGGUUUGCAUGGAACAUACGAUAUGCUUAGAAAUCAAUUUGGACGCUCCUGAUAUAACUCCUUGAUGAUGUGUGUCACAUGGAAUCUUGCUUCGGUUCGUUUAGAGACAGUGUUAGUUUUGGAAGAAGAUAUGUGCACGAUUUACGCCUAAUGCAUCAUAGGCUAAGAAACCAGUUUAGACGCAUCCGAUGGUACUCAUAGUUGAAGAGGCUCAAGUGGAGGCUCGAUUUGGUCUCUUUGUAUAUAGUGCUAAUCUUGAUGCAAGAUAGUUGCAAAGUUUACAUGGAACGUACCAUAUGUUAAGAAAUCAAUUUGGAUGCACCCAAUGGAACUCCUAGAUGACGUGUGUCAUAUGGAAUCUCGCUUCGGUUUGUUUGGAGACAAUGUUAGUUUCGGUGCAAGAUAGGUGCAUAGUUUGUGCCUAAUGCACCAUAGUCUAAGAAACCAUUUUUGACGCACUUGUUUGUACUCCUAGAUGAAGAGGCUCAAGUGGAAGCUCGGUUCGGUCUGUUUGGAGAUACUGCUAAUCUUGAUGCAAAAUAGGUGCACUGUUUGCAUGUAACAUACCAUAUGCUUGGAAAUCAAUUUGGAUGCAACUGUCCUUGAUGAUGUGUGUCAUAUGAAAUCUCGCUGUGGUCAGUUUAGAAACAGUGUUAGUUUCGGUGCAAGAUAUGUGGAUGGUUUGCGCCUAAUGCACCAUAGUCUAAGAAACCAUUUUGGAAGCACCUGUUGGUACUUCGGUGAAGAGGCUCAAGUGGAAGCUCGGUUUGAUAUGUUUGGAGAUAGUGCUACUCUUGAUGCAAGAUAGAUGCACGGUCUGCAUGGAACGUACCAUAUGCUUAGAAAAUAAUUUGGACACACCCGAUAGAACUCCUUGAUGACGUGUGUCAUAUGGAAUCUCGCUUUGGUGUGCUUAGAGAUAGUAUUAGUUUCGAUGCAAGAUAUGUGCAGGGUUUGCGCCUAAUGCACCAAUGUCUAAGAAACUAUUUGGAAGCACCUGUUGGUACUCCUAUGUGAAGAGGCUCAAGUGGAGGCUCGGUUCGGUCUGUUUAGAGAUAGUGCUAAUCUUGAUGCAAGAUAGGUGCACGAUUUGCAUGGAACAUACCAUAUGCUCAGAUAUCAAUUUGGAUGCACCAGAUGGAACUCCUAGAUGACAUGUGUCAUAUGGAAUCUCACUUUGGUCUGUUUAGAGACAGUGUUAGUUUCGGUGCAAGAUAGGUGCACGGUUUGCACCUAAUGCACCAUAGGAUACGAAAACAUUUUGGACGCAGCCAAUGGUACUCCUAGGUCAAGGGACUCAAGUGAAAGCUCAGUUUGGUCUGUUUCGAGAUAGUGCUAAUCUUGAUGCAAGUUAGAUGCACGGUUUGCAUGGAACAUACGAUAUGGUCAGAAAUCAAUUAGGACGCACCUGAUAUAACUCCUUGAUGAUGUGUGUCAUAUGGAAUCUUACUUCAUUUCAUUUAGAGACAAUGUUAGUUUUGGUACAAGACAUGUGCACGGUUUACGCCUAAUGCACCAUAGGCUAAGAAACCAUUUUAGACGCAUCCGAUGGUACUCGUAGUUUAAGAGGCUCAAGUGGAGGCUCGAUUUGGUCUGUUCAGAUAUAGUGCUAAUCUUGAUGCAAGAUAGUUUCACAGUUUGCAUGGAACGUACCAUAUGUUAAGAAAUCAAUUUGGACGCACCCAAUGGAACUCCUUGAUGACGUGUGUCAUAUGGAAUCUCGCUUCGGUCUAUUUGGAGACAAUGUUAGUUUCGGUGCAAGAUAGGUGCAUAGUUUGUGCCUAAUGCACCAUAGUCUAAGAAACCAAUUUUGACGCACCUGUUUGUACUCCUAGAUGAAGAGGCUCAAGUGGAAGCUCGGUUCAGUCUGUUUGGAGAUAGUGCUAAUCUUGAUGCAAGAUAGGUGCACGGUUUGCAUGGAACAUACCUGAUGUGAACCCACUAGGGUUUUCGCCUGAUCUUUUGAUGAGAGGCGCUGGAUAACUUGAUUAGUGAAUGGAGAUGACGUUCACGGCCCGACUACAGCCCUCAAGACUGCGCCUUAGCAACCGAUACACCGCCUCCAAUGGCUGUCACGAUCUUGUGGAGCGCAACACCCGGCCACUAGGGCACUCGUCCUGCAAGCAAUCGAAGAACCAGCAAGAACAAGUAGGACAAGUACUAAAUUACCAGAUGUAAAUGAAGGUUUCAAACUCAAUCUCUAAUGAAGUGGGGUUUCGAAAACAAGAAGACGGGCGGCUGGAUCAGCACGCGCGCUUACAAGCAAGUAGCGAAGGCUAAACUUUAUCUAAUCAAAACCCAGUUGUUCAUGGCGGCUCUAGAUGUAAAUAAAUAGAGGGGAGGACGACCAAAGGGGUGCUAGAGUCGUCCUCCAACCCUAGGACGCGUCCCUAAUGGACUCAACUUGAUACAUGGGCCAUUGGUCCAAAAUAGGGUGACGCAGCACCAAAACAGAAAAAGGUGUCGGCACGAAAACAAGGACUGCGCCCGACUCAUAAGCUGCAUAGAUAUGUGGUUGGACCCAUUGGAAAGUAGACUUCAUGAGCUUUCCAACAAGUAUAGGAACGUCCCAGUUGGAGUCCAUAUGACGCCGUGGUGAUCCAUACAAGUUAGAGUUAUUUUCCAGUCCGAAUCCAACUCCCAAAACGUGUUGGGUUUGGACUCUUUGUUUCCUUGCUUUAGAAGCAACGUGGUAACUUGAUAGAGGAUGUUGUGGAGGCUUGGACCUGAUCUCCAAUCACCUUUGUUAAGUUAUCACUCUUCCCAUAUGCAAUCAGCCCUUGAAGUUGGUGUUGCCUCAAAUUCUGAAUGCAGUUGAACCUUCCCUUGCUGAUCUUGUCCAUUAUUCCUGAGCAACACGAAAGUGCACGUGUCUCCAUUAUCUAAAUAUGAUUGACAAGAGUUUAAAACUGAACUUACUUGAAGGUUGAGUUGACGGGCACGAGCACGAGUAAGAGGACCAGCUAUAGGUUGUGCCGGAGAGGAUGUAGGAUAUGUAUCGCUGGUGGAUGUAGGAUAUGUAUCGCUGGUGUUGAUGUCCUCAUCAUCCUCCCUUUCUUGCAUUUGAGUCGUCCUCGACUCAAGCUCAUCUUCCUCACCCAAAUAAGGCUUCAAAUCUGCAAUGUUAAAUGUGGGACUAACCCCAAAAUCUGCAGGAAGAUCAAGCUUAUAUGCAUUCUCAUUAAUUCGUUGCAGCACUUUAAAAGGACCAUCAGCUCUAGGCAUCAAUUUGGAUUUUCUCAGUUCUAGAAAUCUAUCUUUUCGCAAAUGCAACCAAACCAAAUCCCCAGGUUCCAGAAUCAAUUGCUUUCUACCUUUAUCUCCCAAUUUCAUACGAAUCUGGUGGUACCCACUACGUAAAUCAACUUUUGAAAACACAACAGCACCACUCAGUUCAUCUAGCAUAUCAUCUAAUCGUGGAAUAGAGUGUCGAUAUCGAAUGGUGAUAUUAUUAAUAGCUCUACAAUCAACACACAUACGCCAUGUUCCAUCUUUCUUAGGCACUAAAAUUACUGGAACAGCACAAGGACUAAGAGAUUCUCGGACAUAACCUUUGUCUAGUAGUUCUUGCACUUGUCGCUGAAUUUCCUUUGUUUCCUCCAGGUUUGAUGAGGACAUCAAAACCAUAUGCAUGGAAAUCAAUUUGGAUGCACCCGAUGGAACUCCUUGAUGACGUGUGUCAUAUGGAAUCUCGCUUUGGUCUGUUUAGAAACAGUGUUAGUUUUGGUGCAAGAUAUGUGCAUGGUUUGCGCCAAAUGCACCACAGUCUAAGAAACCAUUUUGGAAGCACCUGUUGGUACUUCAGUGAAGAUGCUCAAGUGGAAGCUUGGUUUGAUCUGUUUGGAGAUAGUGCUAAUCCUGAUGCAAGAUAGAUGCAUGGUCUGCAUGGAACGUACCAUAUGCUUAGAUAUUAGUUUGGACACACCCGAUAGAACUCCUUGAUAACGUGUGUCAUAUGGAAUCUCGCUUUGGUGUGCUUAGAGAUAGUAUUAGUUUUGGUGCAAGAUAUGUGUACGGUUUGUGCCUAAUGCACCAAAGUCUAAGAAACCAUUUUGGAAGCACCUGUUGGUACUACUAGGUGAAGAGGCUCAAGUGGAGGCUCAGUUCGGUCUGUUUAGAGAUAGUGCUAAUCUUGACGCAAGAUAGGUGGACGGUUUGCAUGGAACAUACCAUAUGCUCAGAAAUCAAUUUGGAUGCACCAGAUGGAACUCCUAGACGACAUGUGUCAUAUGGAAUCUCACUUCGGUCCGUUUAGAGACAGUGUUAGUUUCGGUGUAAGAUAGGUGCACGAUUUGCACCUAAUGCACCAUAUGAUAAGAAAUCAUUUUGGACGCACCUGAUGGUACUCCUAGGUCAAAGGGCUCAGGUGAAAGCUCGGUUUUUUAAGUUUGGAGAUAGUGCUAAUCUUGAUGCAAGAUAGAUGCACGGUUUGCAUGAACAUACGAUAUGCUCAGAAAUCAAUUACGACACACCUGAUAUAACUUCUUGAUGAUGUGUGUCAUAUGGAAUCUUGCUUCGGUUAGUAUAGAGACAUUGUUAGCUUUGGUAGAAGAUAUGUGCACGGUUUACGCCUAAUGCACCAUAGGCUAAGAAACCAUUUUAGACACACCUAAUGGUACUCGUAGUUGAAGAGGCUCAAGUGGAGGCUCGAUUUGGUCUGUUUGGAUAUAGUGCUAAUCUUGAUGCAAGAUAGUUGCACAGUUCGCAUGGAACGUACCAUAUGUUAAGAAAUCAAUUUGGAAGUACCCAAUGGAACUCCUAGAUGAUGUGUGUCAUAUGGAAUCUCUCUUCGGUCUGUUUGGAGACAAUGUUAGUUUCGGUGCAAGAUAGGUGCAUAGUUUGUGCCUAAUGCACCAUAGUCUAAGAAGCCAUUUUUGACGCAACUGUUUGUACUCCAAGAUGAAGAGGCUCAAGUGGAAGCUCGGUUCGGUCUGUUUGGAGAUAGUGCUUAUCUUGAUGCAAUAUAGAUGCACGGUUCGCAUAAAACUUACCAUAUGCUUGGAAAUCAAUUUGGAUGCACCUGAUGGAACUACUUGAUGACGUGUGUCAUAUGGAAUCUCGCUUUGGUCUGUUUAGAAACCGUGUUAGUUUCGGUGCAAGAUAUGUGCAUGGUUUGCGCCUAAUGCACCGUAGUCUAAGAAACCAUUUUGGAAGCACCUGUUGGUACUUCGGUGAAGAGGCUCAAGUGGAAUCUCGGUUUGAUCUAUUUGGAGAUAGUGUUAAUCUUGAUGCAAGAUAGGUGCAUGAUUUGCAAGAAACAUACCAUUUGCUUAGAAAUCAAUUUGGACGCACCCAAUGGAACUCCUAGAUGACGUGUGUCAUAUGGAAUCUUGCUUUGGUCCGUUCGUAGACAUUGUAAGUUUUAUUGCAAGAUAGGUGCACAGUUUGCGCCGAAUGCACCAUAGUCUAAGAAACCAUUUUGGACGCACUAUUUGGUACUCCUGGGUGAAGAGGCUAGCUUGGUUCGGUCAGUUUGGAGAUAGUGUUAAUCCUUAUGCAAGGUAGGUGCAUGGUUUGCAUGGAACAUAUCAUAUGCUUGGAAAUAAAUUUGGAUGCACCCGAUGGAACUCCUUGAUGACGUGUGUCAUAUGGAAUCUCGCUAUGGUCCAUUUGGAGAUAUUGUUAGUUUUGGUGAAAGUUAGGUGCACAGUUUGCACCUAAUGCACCAUAGUCUAAGAAACCAUUUUAGACGCACUUGUUGGUACUCCUAGGUGAAGGAGCUCAAGUGGAUGCUCGGUUCGGUCUGUUUGGAGAUAGUGCUAAUCUUAAUGCAAGAUAGGUGCACAGUUUGCAUGGAACAAACCAAAUGCUUGGAAAUCAAUCUGGACGCACAUGAUGGAACUCCUAGAUGACGUGUGUCAUACGAAAUCUUGCUUCGGUCUGUUUGGAGACAGUGUUAGUUUCAGUGCAAGAUAGGUGCAAGGUUUGCACAUAAUGCAUCAAGAUGACGUGUGUCAUUCAAAAUCUUGCUUUGGUCUAUUUGGAGUUUGUUAGUUUCGGUGCAAGAUAGGUGCAAGGUUUGCACAUAAUGCAGCAUUGGCUAAGAAACCAUUUUGGACGCACCUGAUGGUACUCCUAGGUAAAAGGCUCAAGUGAAAGCUUGGUUUGGUCUAUUUAGAGAUAGUGCUAAUCUCGAUGCAAGAUAGAUGCAUGGUCUAUAUGGAACACACCAUAUGCUUAGAAAUUAAUUUGGACACACCCGAUAGAACUCUUUGAUGACGUGUGUCAUAUGGAAUCUCGCUAUGGUGUGCUUAGAGACAGUAUUAGUUUCGGUGCAAGAUAUGUGCACGGUUUGCGCCUAAUGCACCUAAGUUUAAGAAACCAUUUUGGAAGCACCUGUUGGUACUCCUAGGUGAAGAGGCACAAGUGGAGGCUCGGUUCGGUCUGUUUAGAGAUAGUGCUAAUCUUGAUGCAAGAUAGGUGCACGAUUUGCAUGGAACAUACCAUAUGCUCAGAAAUACAUUUGGACGCACCAGAUGGAACUCCUAGAUGACAUGUGUCAUAUGGAAUCUCACUUCGGUCCGUUUAGAGAUAGUGUUAGUUUCGAUGCAAGAUAGGUGCACGGUUUGCACCUAAUGCACCAUAGGAUAAGAAAACCAUUUUGGAUGCACCCGAUGGUACUCCUGGUCAUGGGGCUCAAGUGAAAACUCGGUUUGGUCUGUUUGGAGAUAGUGCUAAUCUUGAUGCAUGAUAGAUGCACGGUUUGCAUGGUACAUACGAUAUGCUUAGAAAUCAAUUAGGACACACGUGAUAUAACUCCUUGAUGAUGUGUGUCAUAUGGAAUCUUGCUUCUGUUCGUUUAGUGACAAUGUUAGCUUUGGUAGAAGAUAUGUGCACGGUUUACGCACGUGAUAUAACUGCUUGAUGAUGUGUGUCAUAUGGAAUCUUGCUUCGGUUCGUUUAGUGACAAUGUUAGCUUUGGUAGAAGCUAUGUGCACGGUUUACGCCUAAUGCACCAUAGUCUAAGAAACCAUUUUAGACGCACCCGAUGGUACUAUUAGUUGAAGAGGCUCAAGUGGAGGCUCGAUUUGGUCUGUUCGGAUAUAGUGCUAAUCUUGAUGCAAGAUAGUUGCACAGUUUGCAUGGAACGUACCAUAUGUUAAGAAAUCAUUUUGGAUGCACCUAAUGGAACUCCUAGAUGACGUGUGUCAUAUGAAAUCUCGCUUCGGUCUAUUUGGAGACAAUGUUAGUUUCGGUGCAAGAUAGGUGCAUAGUUUGUGCCUAAUGCACCAUAGUCUAAGAAACCAUUUUUGACACAACUGUUUGUACUCCUAGAUGAAGAGGCUCGAGUGGAAGCUCGGCUCGGUCUGUUUGGAGAUAGUGCUAAUCUUGAUGCAAGAUAGGUGCACGGUUUGCAUGGAACAUACCAUAUGCUUGGAAAUCAAUUUGGAUGCACCCGAUGGAAAUCCUUGAUGACGUGUGUCAUAUGGAAUCUCGCUUUGGUCUGUUUAGAAACAAUGUUAGUUUCGGUGCAAGAUAUGUGCAUGGUUUGCGCCUAAUGCACCGUAGUCUAAGAAACCAUUUUGGAAGCACCUGUUGGUACUUCGGUGAAGAGGCUCAAGUGGAAUCUCGGUUUGAUCUGUUUGGAGAUAGUGUUAAUCUUGAUGCAAGAUAGGUGCAUGAUUUGCAAGAAACAUACCAUUUGCUUAGAAAUCAAUUUGGACGCACCCAAUGGAACUCCUAGAUGACGUGUGUCAUAUGGAAUCUUGCUUUGGUCCGUUCGUAGACAUUGUAAGUUUUAUUGCAAGAUAGGUGCACAGUUUGCGCCGAAUGCACCAUAGUCUAAGAAACCAUUUUGGACGUACUAUUUGGUACUCCUGGGUGAAGAGGCUAGCUUGGUUCGGUCAGUUUGGAGAUAGUGCUAAUCCUUAUGCAAGGUAGGUGCAUGGUUUGCAUGGAACAUAUCAUAUGCUUGGAAAUAAAUUUGGAUGCACCCGAUGGAACUCCUUGAUGACGUGUGUCAUAUGGAAUCUCGCUAUGGUCCAUUUGGAGAUAUUGUUAGUUUUGGUGAAAGUUAGGUGCACAGUUUGCACCUAAUGCACCAUAGUCUAAGAAACCAUUUUGGACGCACUUGUUGGUACUCCUAGGUGAAGGAGCUCAAGUGGAUGCUCGGUUCGGUCUGUUUGGAGAUAGUGCUAAUCUUAAUGCAAGAUAGGUGCACAGUUUGCAUGGAACAAACCAAAUGCUUGGAAAUCAAUCUGGACGCACAUGAUGGAACUCCUAGAUGACGUGUGUCAUACGAAAUCUUGCUUCGGUCUGUUUGGAGACAGUGUUAGUUUCAGUGCAAGAUAGGUGCAAGGUUUGCACAUAAUGCAACAAGAUGACGUGUGUCAUUCAAAAUCUUGCUUUGGUCUAUUUGGAGUUUGUUAGUUUCGGUGCAAGAUAGGUGCAAGGUUUGCACAUAAUGCAGCAUUGGCUAAGAAACCAUUUUGGACGCACCUGAUGGUACUCCUAGGUAAAAGGCUCAAGUGAAAGCUUGGUUUGGUCUAUUUAGAGAUAGUGCUAAUCUUGAUGCAAGAUAGAUGCAUGGUCUAUAUGGAACACACCAUAUGCUUAGAAAUUAAUUUGGACACACCCGAUAGAACUCUUUGAUGACGUGUGUCAUAUGGAAUCUCGCUAUGGUGUGCUUAGAGACAAUAUUAGUUUCGGUGCAAGAUAUGUGCACGGUUUGCGCCUAAUGCACCUAAGUCUAAGAAACCAUUUUGGAAGCACCUGUUGGUACUCCUAGGUGAAGAGGCACAAGUGGAGGCUCGGUUCGGUCUGUUUAGAGAUAGUGCUAAUCUUGAUGCAAGAUAGGUGCACGAUUUGCAUGGAACAUACCAUAUGCUCAGAAAUACAUUUGGACGCACCAGAUGGAACUCCUAGAUGACAUGUGUCAUAUGGAAUCUCACUUCGGUCCGUUUAGAGAUAGUGUUAGUUUCGAUGCAAGAUAGGUGCACGGUUUGCACCUAAUGCACCAUAGGAUAAGAAAACCAUUUUGGAUGCACCCGAUGGUACUCCUGGUCAUGGGGCUCAAGUGAAAACUCGGUUUGGUCUGUUUGGAGAUAGUGCUAAUCUUGAUGCAUGAUAGAUGCACGGUUUGCAUGGUACAUACGAUAUGCUCAGAAAUCAAUUAGGACACACGUGAUAUAACUCCUUGAUGAUGUGUGUCAUAUGGAAUCUUGCUUCUGUUCGUUUAGUGACAAUGUUAGCUUUGGUAGAAGAUAUGUGCACGGUUUACGCACGUGAUAUAACUGCUUGAUGAUGUGUGUCAUAUGGAAUCUUGCUUCGGUUCGUUUAGUGACAAUGUUAGCUUUGGUAGAAGCUAUGUGCACGGUUUACGCCUAAUGCACCAUAGUCUAAGAAACCAUUUUAGACGCACCCGAUGGUACUAUUAGUUGAAGAGGCUCAAGUGGAGGCUCGAUUUGGUCUAUUCGGAUAUAGUGCUAAUCUUGAUGCAAGAUAGUUGCACAGUUUGCAUGGAACGUACCAUAUGUUAAGAAAUCAUUUUGGAUGCACCUAAUGGAACUCCUAGAUGACGUGUGUCAUAUGAAAUCUCGCUUCGGUCUAUUUGGAGACAAUGUUAGUUUCAGUGCAAGAUAGGUGCAUAGUUUGUGCCUAAUGCACUAUAGUCUAAGAAACCAUUUUUGACACAACUGUUUGUACUCCUAGAUGAAGAGGCUCAAGUGGAAGCUCGGUUCGGUCUGUUUGGAGAUAGUGCUAAUCUUGAUGCAAGACAGGUGCACGGUUUGCAUGGAACAUACCAUAUGCUUGGAAAUCAAUUUGGAUGUACCCGAUGGAAAUCCUUGAUGACGUGUGUCAUAUGGAAUCUUGCUUUGGUCUGUUUAGAAACAAUGUUAGUUUCGGUGCAAGAUAUGUGCAUGUUUGCGCCUAAUGCACCGUAGUCUAAGAAACCAUUUUGGAAGCACCUGUUGGUACUUCGGUGAAGAGGCUCAAGUGGAAUCUCGGUUUGAUCUGUUUGGAGAUAGUGUUAAUCUUGAUGCAAGAUAGGUGCAUGAUUUGCAAGAAACAUACCAUUUGCUUAGAAAUCAAUUUGGACGCACCCAAUGGAACUCCUAGAUGACGUGUGUCAUAUGGAAUCUUGCUUUGGUCCGUUUGUAGACAUUAUAAGUUUUAUUGCAAGAUAGGUGCACAGUUUGCGCCGAAUGCACCAUAGUCUAAGAAACCAUUUUGGACGCACUAUUUGGUACUCCUGGGUGAAGAGGCUAGCUUGGUUCAGUCAGUUUGGAGAUUGUGCUAAUCCUUAUGCAAGGUAGGUGCAUGGUUUGCAUGGAACAUAUCAUAUGCUUGGAAAUAAAUUUGGAUGCACCCGAUGGAACUCCUUGAUGACGUGUGUCAUAAGGAAUCUCGCUAUGGUCCAUUUGGAGAUAUUGUUAGUUUUCGUGAAAGUUAGGUGCACAGUUUGCACCUAAUGCACCAUAGUCUAAGAAACCAUUUUGGACGCAGUUGUUGGUACUCCUAGGUGAAGGAGCUCAAGUGGAUGCUCGGUUCGGUCUGUUUGGAGAUAGUGCUAAUCUUAAUGCAAGAUAGGUGCACAGUUUGCGUGGAACAUACCAAAUGCUUGGAAAUCAAUCUGGACGCACAUGAUGGAACUCCUAGAUGACGUGUGUCAUACGAAAUCUUGCUUCGGUCUGUUUGGAGACAGUGUUAGUUUCAGUGCAAGAUAGGUGCAAGGUUUGCACAUAAUGCAACAAGAUGACAUGUGUCAUUCAAAAUCUUGCUUUGGUCUAUUUGGAGUUUGUUAGUUUCGGUGCAAGAUAGGUGCAAGGUUUGCACAUAAUGCAGCAUUGGCUAAGAAACCAUUUUGGACGCACCCGAUGGUACUCCUAGGUAAAAGGCUCAAGUGAAAGCUUGGUUUGGUCUAUUUAGAGAUAGUGCUAAUCUUGAUGCAAGAUAGAUGCAUGGUCUAUAUGGAACACACCAUAUGGUUAGAAAUUAAUUUGGACACACCCGUAGAACUCUUUGAUGACGUGUGUCAUAUGGAAUCUCGCUAUGGUGUGCUUAGAGACAGUAUUAGUUUCGGUGCAAGAUAUGUGCACGGUUUGCGCCUAAUGCACCUAAGUCUAAGAAACCAUUUUGGAAGCACCUGUUGGUACUCCUAGGUGAAGAGGCACAAGUGGAGGCUCCGUUUGGUCUGUUUAGAGAUAGUGCUAAUCUUGAUGCAAGAUAGGUGCACGAUUUGCAUGGAACAUACCAUAUGCUCAGAAAUACAUUUGGACGCACCCGAUGGAACUCCUUGAAGACCUGUGUCCAAAGGGAAACUCACUUUCGUCCCUUUUAGAAAUAGGGUUAAUUUUCAUGGAAGAAAAGGGGCCCCGGNNNNNNNNNNNNNNNNNNNNNNNNNNNNNNNNNNNNNNNNNNNNNNNNNNNNNNNNNNNNNNNNNNNNNNNNNNNNNNNNNNNNNNNNNNNNNNNNNNNNNNNNNNNNNNNNNNNNNNNNNNNNNNNNNNNNNNNNNNNNNNNNNNNNNNNNNNNNNNNNNNNNNNNNNNNNNNNNNNNNNNNNNNNNNNNNNNNNNNNNNNNNNNNNNNNNNNNNNNNNNNNNNNNNNNNNNNNNNNNNNNNNNNNNNNNNNNNNNNNNNNNNNNNNNNNNNNNNNNNNNNNNNNNNNNNNNNNNNNNNNNNNNNNNNNNNNNNNNNNNNNNNNNNNNNNNNNNNNNNNNNNNNNNNNNNNNNNNNNNNNNNNNNNNNNNNNNNNNNNNNNNNNNNNNNNNNNNNNNNNNNNNNNNNNNNNNNNNNNNNNNNNNNNNNNNNNNNNNNNNNNNNNNNNNNNNNNNNNNNNNNNNNNNNNNNNNNNNNNNNNNNNNNNNNNNNNNNNNNNNNNNNNNNNNNNNNNNNNNNNNNNNNNNNNNNNNNNNNNNNNNNNNNNNNNNNNNNNNNNNNNNNNNNNNNNNNNNNNNNNNNNNNNNNNNNNNNNNNNNNNNNNNNNNNNNNNNNNNNNNNNNNNNNNNNNNNNNNNNNNNNNNNNNNNNNNNNNNNNNNNNNNNNNNNNNNNNNNNNNNNNNNNNNNNNNNNNNNNNNNNNNNNNNNNNNNNNNNNNNNNNNNNNNNNNNNNNNNNNNNNNNNNNNNNNNNNNNNNNNNNNNNNNNNNNNNNNNNNNNNNNNNNNNNNNNNNNNNNNNNNNNNNNNNNNNNNNNNNNNNNNNNNNNNNNNNNNNNNNNNNNNNNNNNNNNNNNNNNNNNNNNNNNNNNNNNNNNNNNNNNNNNNNNNNNNNNNNNNNNNNNNNNNNNNNNNNNNNNNNNNNNNNNNNNNNNNNNNNNNNNNNNNNNNNNNNNNNNNNNNNNNNNNNNNNNNNNNNNNNNNNNNNNNNNNNNNNNNNNNNNNNNNNNNNNNNNNNNNNNNNNNNNNNNNNNNNNNNNNNNNNNNNNNNNNNNNNNNNNNNNNNNNNNNNNNNNNNNNNNNNNNNNNNNNNNNNNNNNNNNNNNNNNNNNNNNNNNNNNNNNNNNNNNNNNNNNNNNNNNNNNNNNNNNNNNNNNNNNNNNNNNNNNNNNNNNNNNNNNNNNNNNNNNNNNNNNNNNNNNNNNNNNNNNNNNNNNNNNNNNNNNNNNNNNNNNNNNNNNNNNNNNNNNNNNNNNNNNNNNNNNNNNNNNNNNNNNNNNNNNNNNNNNNNNNNNNNNNNNNNNNNNNNNNNNNNNNNNNNNNNNNNNNNNNNNNNNNNNNNNNNNNNNNNNNNNNNNNNNNNNNNNNNNNNNNNNNNNNNNNNNNNNNNNNNNNNNNNNNNNNNNNNNNNNNNNNNNNNNNNNNNNNNNNNNNNNNNNNNNNNNNNNNNNNNNNNNNNNNNNNNNNNNNNNNNNNNNNNNNNNNNNNNNNNNNNNNNNNNNNNNNNNNNNNNNNNNNNNNNNNNNNNNNNNNNNNNNNNNNNNNNNNNNNNNNNNNNNNNNNNNNNNNNNNNNNNNNNNNNNNNNNNNNNNNNNNNNNNNNNNNNNNNNNNNNNNNNNNNNNNNNNNNNNNNNNNNNNNNNNNNNNNNNNNNNNNNNNNNNNNNNNNNNNNNNNNNNNNNNNNNNNNNNNNNNNNNNNNNNNNNNNNNNNNNNNNNNNNNNNNNNNNNNNNNNNNNNNNNNNNNNNNNNNNNNNNNNNNNNNNNNNNNNNNNNNNNNNNNNNNNNNNNNNNNNNNNNNNNNNNNNNNNNNNNNNNNNNNNNNNNNNNNNNNNNNNNNNNNNNNNNNNNNNNNNNNNNNNNNNNNNNNNNNNNNNNNNNNNNNNNNNNNNNNNNNNNNNNNNNNNNNNNNNNNNNNNNNNNNNNNNNNNNNNNNNNNNNNNNNNNNNNNNNNNNNNNNNNNNNNNNNNNNNNNNNNNNNNNNNNNNNNNNNNNNNNNNNNNNNNNNNNNNNNNNNNNNNNNNNNNNNNNNNNNNNNNNNNNNNNNNNNNNNNNNNNNNNNNNNNNNNNNNNNNNNNNNNNNNNNNNNNNNNNNNNNNNNNNNNNNNNNNNNNNNNNNNNNNNNNNNNNNNNNNNNNNNNNNNNNNNNNNNNNNNNNNNNNNNNNNNNNNNNNNNNNNNNNNNNNNNNNNNNNNNNNNAAGAAACCAUUUUGGAAGCACCUGUUGGUACUCCUAGGUGAAGAGGCACAAGUGGAGGCUCCGUUUGGUCUGUUUAGAGAUAGUGCUAAUCUUGAUGCAAGAUAGGUGCACGAUUUGCAUGGAACAUACCAUAUGCUCAGAAAUACAUUUGGACGCACCAGAUGGAACUCCUAGAUGACAUGUGUCAUAUGGAAUCUCACUUCGGUCCGUUUAGAGAUAGUGUUAGUUUCAAUGCAAGAUAGGUGCACGGUUUGCACCUAAUGCACCAUAGGAUAAGAAAACCAUUUUGGAUGCACCCGAUGGUACUCCUAGGUCAUGGGGCUCAAGUGAAAACUCGGUUUGGUCUGUUUGGAGAUAGUGCUAAUCUUUAUGCAUGAUAGAUGCACGGUUUGCAUGGAACAUACGAUAUGCUCAGAAAUCAAUUAGGACACACGUGAUAUAACUCCUUGAUGAUGUGUGUCAUAUGGAAUCUUGCUUCGGUUCGUUUAGUGACAAUGUUAGCUUUGGUAGAAGAUAUGUGCACGGUUUACGCACGUGAUAUAACUCCUUGAUGAUGUGUGUCAUAUGGAAUCUUGCUUCGGUUCAUUUAGUGACAAUGUUAGCUUUGGUAGAAGCUAUGUGCACGGUUUACGCCUAAUGCACUAUAGUCUAAGAAACCAUUUUAGACGCACCCGAUGGUACUAUUAGUUGAAGAGGCUCAAGUGGAGGCUCGAUUUGGUCUAUUCGGAUAUAGUGCUAAUCUUGAUGCAAGAUAGUUGCACAGUUUGCAUGGAACGUACCAUAUGUUAAGAAAUCAUUUUGGAUGCACCUAAUGGAACUCCUAGAUGACGUGUGUCAUAUGAAAUCUCGCUUCGGUCUAUUUGGAGACAAUGUUAGUUUCAGUGCAAGAUAGGUGCAUAGUUUGUGCCUAAUGCACUAUAGUCUAAGAAACCAUUUUUGACACAACUGUUUGUACUCCUAGAUGAAGAGGCUCAAGUGGAAGCUCGGUUCGGUCUGUUUGGAGAUAGUGCUAAUCUUGAUGCAAGAUAGGUGCACGGUUUGCAUGGAACAUACCAUAUGCUUGGAAAUCAAUUUGGAUGCACCCGAUGGAAAUCCUUGAUGACGUGUGUCAUAUGGAAUCUCGCUUUGGUCUGUUUAGAAACAAUGUUAGUUUCGGUGCAAGAUAUGUGCAUGGUUUGCGCCUAAUGCACCGUAGUCUAAGAAACCAUUUUGGAAGCACCUGUUGGUACUUCGGUGAAGAGGCUCAAGUGGAAUCUCGGUUUGAUCUGUUUGGAGAUAGUGUUAAUCUUGAUGCAAGAUAGGUGCAUGAUUUGCAAGAAACAUACCAUUUGCUUAGAAAUCAAUUUGGACGCACCCAAUGGAACUCCUAGAUGACGUGUGUCAUAUGGAAUCUUGCUUUGGUCCGUUCGUAGACAUUGUAAGUUUUAUUGCAAGAUAGGUGCACAGUUUGCGCCGAAUGCACCAUAGUCUAAGAAACCAUUUUGGACGUACUAUUUGGUACUCCUGGGUGAAGAGGCUAGCUUGGUUCGGUCAGUUUGGAGAUAGUGCUAAUCCUUAUGCAAGGUAGGUGCAUGGUUUGCAUGGAACAUAUCAUAUGCUUGGAAAUAAAUUUGGAUGCACCCGAUGGAACUCCUUGAUGACGUGUGUCAUAUGGAAUCUCGCUAUGGUCCAUUUGGAGAUAUUGUUAGUUUUGGUGAAAGUUAGGUGCACAGUUUGCACCUAAUGCACCAUAGUCUAAGAAACCAUUUUGGACGCACUUGUUGGUACUCCUAGGUGAAGGAGCUCAAGUGGAUGCUCGGUUCGGUCUGUUUGGAGAUAGUGCUAAUCUUAAUGCAAGAUAGGUGCACGGUUUGCAAGGAACAUACCAAAUGCUUGGAAAUCAAUCUGGACGCACAUGAUGGAACUCCUAGAUGACGUGUGUCAUAAGAAAUCUUGCUUCGGUCUGUUUGGAGACAGUGUUAGUUUCAGUGCAAUAUAGGUGCAAGGUUUGCACAUAAUGCUACAAGAUGACGUGUGUCAUUCAAAAUCUUGCUUUGGUCUAUUUGGAGACUGUUAGUUUCGGUGCAAGAUAGGUGCAAGGUUUGCACAUAAUGCAGUAUUGGCUAAGAAACCAUUUUGAACGCACCCGAUGGUACUCCUAGGUAAAAGGCUCAAGUGAAAGCUUGGUUUGGUCUAUUUAGAGAUAGUGCUAAUCUUGAUGCAAGAUAGAUGCAUGGUCUAUAUGGAACACACCAUAUGCUUAGAAAUUAAUUUGGACACACCCGAUAUAACUCCUCGAUGACGUGUGUCAUAUGAAAUCUCGCUUUGGUGUGCUUAGAGACAGUAUUAGUUUCGGUGCAAGAUAUGUAUGGUUUGUGCCUAAUGCACCAAAGUCUAAGAAACCAUUUUGGAAGCACUUGUUGGUACUCCUUGGUGAAGAAGCUCAAGUGGAGGCUUGGUUCGGUCUGUUUAGAGAUAGUGCUAAUCAUGAUGCAAGAUAGGUGCACGAUUUGCAUGGAACAUACGAUAUGCUCAGAAAUCAAUUAGGAUACACGUGAUAUAACUCCUUGAUGAUGUGUGUGAUAUGGAAUCUUGCUUCGGUUCAUUUAGUGACAAUGUUAGCUUUGGUAGAAGAUAUGUGCACGGUUUACGCACGUGAUAUAACUCCUUGAUGAUGUGUGUCAUAUGGAAUCUUGCUUCGGUUCGUUUAGUGACAAUGUUAGCUUUGGUAGAAGCUAUGUGCACGGUUUACGCCUAAUGCACUAUAGUCUAAGAAACCAUUUUAGACGCACCCGAUGGUACUAUUAGUUGAAGAGGCUCAAGUGGAGGCUCGAUUUGGUCUAUUCGGAUAUAGUGCUAAUCUUGAUGCAAGAUAGUUGCACAGUUUGCAUGGAACGUACCAUAUGUUAAGAAAUCAUUUUGGAUGCACCUAAUGGAACUCCUAGAUGACGUGUGUCAUAUGAAAUCUCGCUUCGGUCUAUUUGGAGACAAUGUUAGUUUCAGUGCAAGAUAGGUGCAUAGUUUGUGCCUAAUGCACUAUAGUCUAAGAAACCAUUUUUGACACAACUGUUUGUACUCCAAGAUGAAGAGGCUCAAGUGGAAGCUCGGUUCGGUCUGUUUGGAGAUAGUGCUAAUCUUGAUGCAAGAUAGGUGCACGGUUUGCAUGGAACAUACCAUAUGCUUGGAAAUCAAUUUGGAUGUACCCGAUGGAAAUCCUUGAUGACGUGUGUCAUAUGGAAUCUUGCAUUGGUCUGUUUAGAAACAAUGUUAGUUUCGGUGCAAGAUAUGUGCAUGUUUGCGCCUAAUGCACCGUAGUCUAAGAAACCAUUUUGGAAGCACCUGUUGGUACUUCGGUGAAGAGGCUCAAGUGGAAUCUCAGUUUGAUCUGUUUGGAGAUAGUGUUAAUCUUGAUGCAAGAUAGGUGCAUGAUUUGCAAGAAACAUACCAUUUGCUUAGAAAUCAAUUUGGACGCACCCAAUGGAACUCCUAGAUGACGUGUGUCAUAUGGAAUCUUGCUUUGGUCUGUUCGUAGACAUUGUAAGUUUUAUUGCAAGAUAGGUGCACAGUUUGCGCCGAAUGCACCAUAGUCUAAGAAACCAUUUUGGACGCACUAUUUGGUACUCCUGGGUCAAGAGGCUAGCUUGGUUCGGUCAGUUUGGAGAUAGUGCUAAUCCUUAUGCAAGGUAGGUGCAUGGUUUGCAUGGAACAUAUCAUAUGCUUGGAAAUAAAUUUGGAUGCACCCGAUGGAACUCCUUGAUGACGUGUGUCAUAUGAAAUCUUGCUAUGGUCCAUUUGCAUAUAUUGUUAGUUUUGGUGAAAGUUAGGUGCACAGUUUGCACCUAAUGCACCAUAGUCUAAGAAACCAUUUUGGACGCACUUGUUGGUACUCCUAGGUGAAGGAGCUCAAGUGGAUGCUCGAUUCGGUCUGUUUGGAGAUAGUGCUAAUCUUAAUGCAAGAUAGGUGCACGGUUUGCAAGGAACAUACCAAAUGCUUGGAAAUCAAUCUGGACGCACAUGAUGGAACUCCUAGAUGACGUGUGUCAUAAGAAAUCUUGCUUCGGUCUGUUUGGAGACAGUGUUAGUUUCAGUGCAAUAUAGGUGCAAGGUUUGCACAUAAUGCUACAAGAUGACGUGUGUCAUUCAAAAUCUUGCUUUGGUCUAUUUGGAGACUGUUAGUUUCGGUGCAAGAUAGGUGCAAGGUUUGCACAUAAUGCAGUAUUGGCUAAGAAACCAUUUUGAACGCACCCGAUGGUACUCCUAGGUAAAAGGCUCAAGUGAAAGCUUGGUUUGGUCUAUUUAGAGAUAGUGCUAAUCUUGAUGCAAGAUAGAUGCAUGGUCUAUAUGGAACACACCAUAUGCUUAGAAAUUAAUUUGGACAGACCCGUUAGAACUCUUUGAUGACGUGUGUCAUAUGGAAUCUAGCUAUGGUGUGCUUAGAGACAGUAUUAAUUUCGGUGCAAGAUAUGUGCACGGUUUGCGCCUAAUGCACCUAAGUCUAAGCAACCAUUUUGGAAGCACCUGUUGGUACACCUAGGUGAAGAGGCGCAAGUGGAGGCUCGGUUCGAUCUGUUUAGAGAUAGUGCUAAUCUUGAUGCAAGAUAGGUGCACGAUUUGCAUGGAACAUUCCAUAUGCUCAGAAAUACAUUUGGACGCACCAGAUGGAACUCCUAGAUGACAUGUGUCAUAUGGAAUCUCACUUCGGUCCGUUUAGAGUUAGUGUUAGUUUCGAUGAAAAAUAGGUGCACGGUUUGCACCUAAUGCACCAUUGGAUAAGAAACCAUUUUGGAUGCACCCGAUGGUACUCCUAGGUGAAGGGUCUCAAGUGGAUGCUCAGUUCGAUCCGUUUGGAGAUAGUGCUAAUCUUGACGCAAGAUAGGAGCACGGUUUGCAUGGAACAUACCAAAUGCAUGCAAAUCAAUCUGGACGCACAUGAUGGAACUCCUAGAUGACGUAUGUCAUACGAAAUCUUGCUUCGGUCUGUUUGGAGAUUGUGUUAGUUUCAGUGCAAGAUAGGUGCAAGGUUUGCAUAUAAUGCAGCAUAGUCUAAGAAACCAUUUUGGACGCACCCGAUGGUACUCCUAGGUAAAAGGCUCAAGUGAAAGCUCGGUUUGGUCUAUUUGGAGAUAGUGCUAAUCUUGAUGCAAGAUAGAUGCACGGUCUGCAUGGAACGUACCAUAUGCUUAGAAAUUAAUUUGGACACACCCGAUAUAACUCCUCGAUGACGUGUGUCAUAUGAAAUCUCGCUUUGGCGUGCUUAGAGACAGUAUUAGUUUCGGUACAAGAUAUGUGCACGGUUUGUGCCUAAUGCACCAAAGUCUAAGAAACCAUUUUGGAAGCACCUGUUGGUACUCCUUGGUGAAGAAGCUCAAGUGGAGGCUUGGUUCGGUCUGUUUAGAGAUAGUGCUAAUCAUGAUGCAAGAUAGGUGCACGAUUUGUGUGGAACAUAUCAUAUGCUCAGAAAUACAUUUGGACGCACCAGAUGGAACUCCUAGAUGACAUGUGUCAUAUGGAAUCUCACUUCGGUCCGUUUAGAGAUAGUGUUAGUUUCGAUGAAAAAUAGGUGCACGGUUUGCACCUAAUGCACCAUAGGAUAAGAAACCAUUUUGGAUGCACCAGAUGGUACUCCUAGGUCAUGGGGCUCAAGUGAAAACUCGGUUUGGUCUGUUUGGAGAUAGUGCUAAUCUUGAUGCCUGAUAAAUGCACGGUUUGCAUGGAACAUACGACAUGCUCAGAAAUCAAUUAGGACACACGUGAUAUAACUCCUUGAUGAUGUGUGUCAUAUGGAAUCUUGCUUCAGUUUGUUUAGUGACAAUGUUAGCUUUGGUAGAAGAUAUGUGCACGGUUUACGCACGUGAUAUAACUCCUUGAUGAUGCGUGUCAUAUGGAAUCUUGCUUCGGUUCGUUUAGUGACAAUGUUAACUUUGGUAGAAGAUAUCUGCAUGGUUUACCCCUAAUGUACCAUAGUCUAAGAAACCAUUUUAGACGCACCCGAUGGUACUAUUAGUUGAAGAGGCUCAAGUGGAUGCUCGAUUUGGUCUGUUCCGAUAUAGUGCUAAUCUUGAUGCAAGAUAGUUGCACAGUUUCCAUGGAACGUACCAUAUGUUAAGAAAUCAUUUUUGAUGCACCUAAUGGAACCGAAGUCUAAGAAACAAUUUUGGAAGCACCUAUUGCUACUUCGGUGAAGAGGCUCAAGUGGAAGCUCGGUUUAAUCUGUCUAGAGAUAGUGCUAAUCUUGAUGCAUGAUAGGUGCAUGAUUUGCAAGCAACAUACCAUAUGCUUAGAAAUCAAUUUGGACGCACCCAAUUGAUCUCCUAGAUGACGUGUGUCAUAUGGAAUCUUGCUUCGGUCCGUUUGUAGACAUUGUAAGUUUUAGUGCAAGAUAGGUGCAUAGUUUGCGCCUAAUGCACCAUAGUCUAAGAAACCAUUUUGGAUGAACUAUUUGGUACUCCUAUGUGAAGAGGCUCAAGUGGAAGCUUGGUUCGGUCACUUUGGAGAUAGUGCUAAUCCUUAUGCAAGGUAGGUGCAUGGUUUGAAUGGAACAUACCAUAUGCAUGGAAAUUAAUUUGGAUGCACACGAUGGAACUCCUUGAUGACGUGUGUCAUAUAGAAUCUCACUUCGGUCCAUUUGGAGACAUUGUUAGUUUAGGUGCAAGAUAGGUGCAAAGUUUGCACCUAAUGCUCCAUAGUCUAAGAAACCAUUUUGGAUGCACUUGUUGGUACUCCUAGGUGAAGGGGUUCAAGUGGAUGCUCGGUUCGGUCUGUUUGGAGAUAGUGCUAAUCUUGAUGCAAGAUAGGUGCACGGUUUGCAUGGAACAUACCAAAUGCAUGCAAAUCAAUCUGGACGCACAUGAUGGAACUCCUAGAUGACGUAUGUCAUACGAAAUCUUGCUUCGGUCUGUUUGGAGAUUGUGUUAGUUUCAGUGCAAGAUAGGUGCAAGGUUUGCACAUAAUGCAGCAUAGUCUAAGAAACCAUUUUGGACGCACCCGAUGGUACUCCUAGGUAAAAGGCUCAAGUGAAAGCUCGGUUUGGUCUAUUUGGAGAUAGUGCUAAUCUUGAUGCAAGAUAGAUGCACGGUCUGCAUGGAACGUACCAUAUGCUUAGAAAUUAAUUUGGACACACCCGAUAUAACUCCUCGAUGACGUGUGUCAUAUGAAAUCUCGCUUUGGUGUGCUUAGAGACAGUAUUAGUUUCGGUGCAAGAUAUGUAUGGUUUGUGCCUAAUGCACCAAAGUCUAAGAAACCAUUUUGGAAGCACUUGUUGGUACUCCUUGGUGAAGAAGCUCAAGUGGAGGCUUGGUUCGGUCUGUUUAGAGAUAGUGCUAAUCAUGAUGCAAGAUAGGUGCACGAUUUGCAUGGAACAUACCAUGUAACACUCCUAGUGUUAGCUUGCAUGUUAACAAUGAGCAUUGCAUCAACAUAAGCAUCAUCAUGAUCACUCAUGAGCAUCAUACCAUGAUCACAUGUCAUUUGGUGUAGACACUAGGUGAUUGACUUGCUUGUGUGACUUGCUAUAUGUGAAAGAAAUGUGUGACCAAUGCAUAUAAGUGCACAUUGUAUUUCCAAAUACUCUAAUCAUGUUUGGAAUGUCAUUUUGAACAAAGUUUGUGUUGGAGGUUUCACCCAAAAAUUCCCCUAAGUCAUGGUUAACCCUAGGUUGACCUAUUUGACCCCCCUAAACCUCUUUUUAAAGACCUUUUAUGAAACCAGUGUUAGAGACCUUGCAUGUAAUUGUCAUCUAAAGGAAAGUUGUAGUAAAUUUUAUAAGCUACAAAAGUUGUGUUGAUGACAUUUUAUGAUAAUGCAUGGAACCAGACCAAAAGUGGCCCACAAGCCAAAAACCAGUGUUGUUUCCAACACUUAGUCGAAUUUGGCUGUCUGGAUUCUGCAGUUUCGGGGUAGGGUACUUGGGAGCUUUAUAGUUUGAAAUCCAAGCCGAACCAGACCUUGAUCCUUUAAGCAAUCUUGUAGAACUCAUGUAGUUCUAUCCAAUGAAAUAAAUUCGAGCCAAAACCAUCGAGUGAAUCGAGAGUAAAACGUCGACGAAGAUCGAGUUUCAGUCACUGCGAUCGGGCGUUUCACACAUCGAUUCAGUUUGGACAGUCGCUGUCCGCCGCCGCGUGUCCAGCCACCUGUCGACCGUACGCCACUGAUGGCCCCUCCUGUCAGCAUGGACGUCGUCCACAAGUUGCCACGCACCGCCUGGACGCCUCAGACGCAUCGUCCACUCGCCUAGAUCGCCACAUUUCCCUCCGCCAUCGCCUUGGCGAGCUCCGCCGUACUUCGGCGAGCUCUCCCGGCCGCGCCACCGCAUCUCCUGCCAAGCCAGCCCGCCUAGAGCUCCGCCGCGACGUCCUCUACCUCGACGUCCAUCCCUUUUCCCUAGCCGAGCACUGGCGAGGUCGCAUUGUCAACUCCGUCGCGAGCUCCACCACGCCAGAGUUCGUAGAGAUCACCGGCAACGUGGCCAGACCUCUCUGGUUCACCUCUGGCCGUGAUUCUUCUUCCUACAGCUUCGCCUUGCUUCACUCCUGCUCGUCCGCAACCACUACAGAGUCGCAUUUGCCUAGGUUCACCGGCGUAACGCCACGCAGCGACGCCGCUCCGCCAUUCGCGACGGCGAGCACCCUAGAGUCCAGUAGAGCGUGAGCCAAGUUGGUCAACAGGUUCGCCUUGAAGUGAGGAACACGUAGAUGCCCUCAGUUUCCCCGGAGACCUCACCAUCGUUGAGAACUCCAGCGGUCGCGCUCGUCUCUGCUCCCUGUCUCUCUAUCGCGUGGGUCCCAUCUGUCAGCAGGCCCCACCCGUCAGCCUCUCACUCUCUCCCCUGUGUCCAAUGUUUUUGCAGAUUCUGAGUUGUUUUUGUAAAAAUCAUAACUUGAGCUAGGCAGAUCCAAAUGGAGUGAUUCCAAUUUUUUUAGGUUCUUGAGUUAGUAUAGUUUUUAAUAAAAAUAUAAAACAUGCCAUGUUUUUGCAGAAAUAAAUAGAUAUGAUUUAAUCUUGGUUAAAUAAAAGGUAAUUAUAUCUUGAGAUCUAUGAGUCCUAUGGCCAUGCAAAUUUAGGAGAGUGUUAUUUAUGACAUGAAUAGGCUCUGAUAAAUUUAUCAUGAUUUUUGGAUGACUGUUGGUGAAGUUAUAAAUAUUUCUUGUUCAAAUAGGAGUUUCUUGUGGUAUUUUUAAUAAAUAGAUUAUAACUCCUUUUAUGAUGAAACUUGCUGGGUGAUGUAAUAAUGUGCAAAAAAAGAUAAGAAAAAUCUGAAAUCUGUUGUUUGACACUUUUUGAUAGGGUUUCACAUUUAUGCCUUUAAUGCCAUUGUUAGCUUGUCAUUUUUGUAUCUCACAAUCUGCACGUGCAAGAGCCCUGAAAUUUUUACAGGAACCUUGUGGUAGCCUAAAUAGCUUGCUGUAAUUUUAUUAGAAUUUUUGGAACACUUGUACUACAUGCUCAUUAAUUCACCCUAAUAAUCAAAUAAAUAGAAAAGGGGAUAAUAAAAAUGAUUUUAAACCUUGCCAUGAUGUUUUAUGAUGUUUCUUAGACAUGUUCUAACUACUAGUGUCUUUGGUUGGAACCAAUGUUACAUUCUUGAUAUGUGCUAAAAUAUUAUUUUGCUAAUUAUGCCUUGUCUUGAGCAUAUUCUGUGCAGGUAGUAGAAUUUACUUAAGAACUGCUUGAAGAUGAAGUUUGCUGGAAAACUUGUCUAUAAAAAACUUAUAGCUAACUUACUUAUCUAUCUUGUGUCCAAAUUUCAUGACAUUGGCUGGGUGGUUUAAGAGUUAUGAUUGUUACAAGAAGCUGCUACGAAGUGCUUGCUCUCUGGAUUUUCCAGGACAGCCAGCAAACUUUGCCUGGUUCAGCCUAUUUUGGUUGGGAAUCCUUCUGGGAUGUCUAAAACUGAAUUGUAGACAAUUUGUUAAGCUUUCCAGAAAGUGUCUACUUGCUUGGUUUAGACAAUUGGUGACUAAGUUAUAGCUAAAACUUGUGACUAGUUAAUCUGUCCAUGACACCAGUUGUUGAGUGUGAGUAGCUAAGGUUGAAUAGCUUAUCUAGUUAACCUCUCUACCAGAGAAGAAGUAUGCACUUACUUAUUUAUUCAUGAUUCACUUACUCUUAGAAACUUGUGAUCAUGUUGCACCUUGUUUCAUGUUAUUUUGGCUUAUCAUCAUGACAUCUUGCAUCUUGUGUGCAUUCCCUAUGUUUAUCGCCUUGUCAUGCAUACUUAGGUGCACCCAAGGGUGUGACGGUCCUAGAAUUCGCACCGCCAGAGCCGGAGGAGCAGCAGAUGGAGCCACCUCAAGGAGAAGGAGCUGAGGAGGAGGAUCUACUGGAGUGCCCCUACCAUCGUCCUUCCACCUACGUCGAAGGCAAGCCCUGGAGCACUAUAAGACUCCUACUAUUUUGUUAUCAUGUCCAGCUGUCAAUUAACUAUGGUUAUAUAUUGUUGCAUUAAGUGUUAGGCGUUGAAAUGACACCCUUGCUGCAUAAUGACUACCUUGUCCACCUUAUACCUUACCGAAGUAGGUCCAGGAUCGAAAUGAUGCUUAGCCAUGCUUAGCUCGGUAGAAGCCGGGUGAUUUCCUGUCACCUGCGAGAGAUAGGUGGAUACUUGACACGGAUGGCUAUAUUUGCUAUCGUGGAGAUAACCAGGUGCUAAUAAUGAAUUUGAGACCGGGCUGGAUGAUGAUAGUGCAGCAACAAGGCAUGGAGGUCUUGGGUGCGAAUAUAUCCCCGUCUGUGUCGUUUAAGGACCGAUACGCUGUACGUCCUCGUGUCAUGUUGAACGCAUGCCUAACACUUAGUUGGCCGGAUAAGUCAUUCCGACCAUGAAGCCUAUGAGUGCAUCUCCGGCCGGAUACCCCAAUCUGGUUAAAGUGCACACCCCGGUUGGUAGCAAGGAUGUGUGGGGAGUCAAUGGCGUAAGACCGAGGUGUCAGGUUAGAGUCCUGACCCUGGCAGAUUGGCGGUCCCUGGGGUGCGGCGCUGUACGGACCCGCGACUUGGUCCGGAGUUGUGCUAAAGGUGAUCUGAGCUGCCCUCACGAGGUAUGCUUGGGUGAGUGCUAGGAAUACCCCUCCAGCUGGAUAGGAAUCGAUUCGAAUCGCCGUCUCUCCCAGAUAGUGAGAACAUGACUCGAGCAGCGGCAACGUAGAAUUCACUAAAUAAACUUAAUGGUUAUGAUGAGAAUGAUGAUGGCUAUGUGAUAAUUGGAUAUGGUUAUUAUUGUGAUGCUUAAUACUCAAGUGUAUGCUUAGAUCAGGUGCUAAUCUAGUGGAUAGCUGUUUUAAGUAAUGAACUUGCUGCUGAAAUUGUAAACAUGUGUUACUCAAAAACUAAAGCUUUUAUGCAAAAGGUGAGUCAAACCAGCCCACAAAUGUUAGCCUUGCAUACUCCUUGGUGCCACUUUAUUUCUGGUUUAUGACGGGUAAGUCUAGCUGAGUACCUUCUCGUACUCAGAGUUUUAUUUACCCUUGUUGCAGAUGAUGUCGUGUAUCACGGCUACUGUGCUAACUGUCAUCAUCCGGCUACGGAUGAUGAGUAGAUCUCGGGCAAGAUCACUUCUAUUAUCUUCGGUUGUGCUUUUGUUGGGAUGAUCCUGGAACUGGCAUGUAAUUAAACUGAGUGUGUGUUGUAUCAAAACUACUUUGCUUCUGCUACUGACCUAUGUUGUAAUAACUCUAUUUGAACUCCAAUGUGUUGUAAAACAAUGUUGUGAUUAAUGUUUAUAAUCUGUGAUGGAGAUGCUUGAUCAUGUACGGUCCUGGUUGUAUGUUUGUUGAUCUUUUGAGGUUUUGUCGGACUACCGGGUUUAUAUGGGUUCAAGUCCAUUGGCUUGACUGCUUUCGUGGUCGCUAAUUCACUUGAAUUCUUAUAAACUGGAUGAUUCUAUUACAUACCAUAUGCUCAAAAAUCAAUUUGGACGCACCAGAUGGAACUCUAGAUGACAUGUGUCAUAUGGAAUCUCACUUCGGUCCGUUUAGAGACAGUGUUAGUUUCGGUGCAAGAUAGGUGCACGGUUUGCACCUAAUGAACCAUAGGAUAAGAAACCAUUUUGGACGCACCCGAUGGUACUCCUAGGUCAAGGGGCUCAAGUGAAAGCUCGGUUUGGUCUGUUUGGAGAUAGUGCUAAUCUUGAUGCAAGAUAGAUGCACGGUUUGCAUGGAACAUACGAUAUGCUCAGAAAUCAAUUAGGACACACCUGAUAUAACUCCUUCAUGAUGUGUGUUAUAUGGAAUCUUGCUUCGGUUCGUUUAGAGACAGUGUUAGUUUUGGUAGAAGAUAUGUGCACGGUUUACGCCAAAUGCACCAUAGGCUAAGAAACCAUUUUAGACGCACCCGAUGGUACUCGUAGUUGAAGAGGCUCAAGUGGAGGCUCGAUUUGGUCUGUUCAGAUAUAGUGCUAAUCUUGAUGCAAGAUAGUUGCACAGUUUGCAUGGAACGUACCAAAUGUUAAGAAAUCAAUUUGGACUCACCCAAUGGAACUCCUAGAUGAUGUGUGUCAUAUGGAAUCUCGCUUCGGUCAGUUUGGAGACAAUGUUAGUUUCGGUGCAAAAUAGGUGCAUAGUUUGUGCCUAAUGCACCAUAGUCUAAGAAACCAUUUUGGACACACUAUUUGGUACUCCUGGGUGAAGAGGCUCAAGUGGAAGCUCAGUUCGGCCUGUUUUGAGAUAGUGCUAAUCCUUAAGCAAGGUAGGUGCAUGGUUUGCAUGGAACAUACCAUAUGCUUCGAAAUCAAUUUGGAUGCACCCAAUGAAACUCCUUGAUGACAUGUGUCAUAUGGAAUCUCGCUUCGGUCCAUUUGGAGACAUUGUUAGUUUCGGUGCAAGAUAUGUGCAUAGUUUGCACCUAAUGCACCAUAGUCUAAGAAACCAUUUUGGACGCACUUGUUGGUACUCCUAGGUGAAGGGGCUCAAGUGGAUGCUCGGUUUGGUCUGUUUGGAGAUAGUGCUAAUCUUGAUGCAAGAUAGAUCCACGGUCUGCAUGGAAUGUACCAUAUGCUUAGAAAUUAAUUUGGACACACCCGAUAGAACCCUUGAUGAUGUGUGUCAUAUGGAAUCUCGCUUUGGUGUGCUUAGAGACAUUAUUAGUUUCGGUGCAAGAUAUCUGCAUGGUUUGCGCCUAAUGCACCAAAGUCUAAGAAACCAUUUUUUAGCACAUGUUGGUAAUCCUAGGUGAAGAGGCUCAAGUGGAGGCUCGGCUCGGUCUGUUUAGAGAUAGAGCUAAUUUUGAUGCAAGAUAGGUGCACGAUUUGCAUUGAACAUACCAUAUGCUUGGAAAUCAAUUUGGACGCACCAGAUCGAACUCCUAGAUGACAUGUGUUAUAUGGAAUCUCACUUCGGUCCCUUUAGAGACAGUGUUAGUUUCCAUGCAAGAUAGGUGCACGGUUUGCACCUAAUGCACCAUAGGAUAAGAAACCAUUUUGGACGCACCCGAUGGUACUCCUAGGUCAAGGGGCUUAAGUGAAAGCUUGGUUUGGUCUGUUUGGAGAUAGUGCUUAUGUUGAUGCCAGAUAGAUGCACGGUUUGCAUGGAACAUACGAUAUGCUCAGAAGUCAAUUAGGACGCACCUGAUAUAACUCCUUGAUGAUGUGUCAUGUGGAAUCUUGCUUCGGUUUAUUUAGAGACAGUGUUAGUUUUGGUAGAAGAUAUGUGCAUGUUUUAUGCCUAAUGCACCAUAGGCUAAGAAACCAUAUGCUUAGAAAUCAAUUUUAUUGCACCACAUGGAACUCCUAGAUGACAUGUGUCAUAUGGAAUCUCACUUCUGUUUGUUUAGAGACAGUGUUAGUUUCGGUGCAAGAUAGAUGCACGGUUUGCACCUAACGUGAUGAGGACAUCAACACCAUCGAUAUAUCCGCACCUACACCAGUUGGUCCUCUUACUCAUGCUCGUGCCCGUCAACUCAACCUUCAAGUAAGUUCAGUUUUAAACUCUUGUCAAUCAUAUUUAGACAAUGGAGACACGUGCGCUUUCGUGUUGCUCAGGAAUAAUGGACAAGAUCAGGAAGGGAAGGUUCAACUGCAUUCAGAAUUUGAGGCAACACCAACUUCAAGGGCUGAUUGCAUAUGGGAAGAGUGAUAACUUAACAAAGGUGAUUGGAGAUCAGGUGCAAGCCUCCACAACAUCCUCUAUCAAGUUACCACGUCGCUUCUAAAGCAAGGAAACAAAGAGUCCAAACCCAACACGUUUUGGGAGUUGGAUUCGGACUGGAAAAUAACUCUAACUUGUAUGGAUCACCACGGCGUCAUAUGGACUCCAACUGGGACGUUCCUAUACUUGUUGGAAAGCUCAUGAAGUCUACUUUCCAAUGGGUCCAACCACAUAUCUAUGCAGCUUAUGAGUCGGGCGCAGUCCUUGUUUUUGUGCCGACACCUUUUUCUGUUUUGGUGCUGCGUCACCCUAUUUUGGACCAAUGGCCCAUGUAUCAAGUUAAGUCCAUUAGGGACGCGUCCUAGGGUUGGAGGACGACUCUAUCACCCCUUUGGUCGUCCUCCCCUCUAUUUAUUUACAUCUAGAGCCGCCAUGAACAACUAGGUUUUGAUUAGAUAAAGUUUAGCCUUCGCUACUUGCUUGUAAACGCGCGUGCUGAUCCAGCCGCCCGUCUUCUUGUUUUCGAAACCCCACUUCAUUAGAGAUUGAGUUUGAAACCUUCAUUUACAUCUAAAAAUUUAGUACUUGUUCUACUUGUUCUUGCUGGUUCUACGAUUGCUUGCAGGACGAGUGCCCUAGUGGUCGGGUGUUGCGCUCCACAAGAUCGUGACAGCCAUUGGAGGCGGUGUAUCGGUUGCUAAGGCGCGGCCUUAGAAGGCUGUAGUCGGGCCGUGAACGUCAUCUCCAUUCACUAAUCGAGUUAUCCAGCGCCUCACAUCGAAAGAUCAGGCGAAAACCCUAGUGGGUUCACAUCAUAACGCACCAUAGGAUAAGAAACCAUUUUGGACGCACCCGAUGGUACUCCUAGGUCAAGGGGCUCAAGUGAAAGCUCAGUUUGUUCUUUUUGGAUAUAGUGCUAAUCUUGAUGCAAGAUAGAUGCACGGUUUGCAUUGAACAUACGAUAUGCUCACAAAUCAAUUAGGACACACCUGAUAUAACUCCUUGAUGAUGUGUGUCAUAUGGAAUCUUGCUUCGAUUCGUUUAGAGACAGUGUUAGCUUUGGUAUAAGAUAUGUGCACGGUUUACGCCUAAUGCACCAUAGGCUAAGAAACCAUUUUAGACACACCCGAUGGUACUCGUAGUUGAAGAGGCUCAAGUGGAUGCUCGAUUUGGUCUGUUUGGAUAUAGUGCUAAUCUUGAUGCAACAUAGUUGCACAGUUUGCAUGGAACGUACCAUAUGUUAAGAAAUCAAUUUGGACACACCUAAAGGAACUCCUAGAUGACGUGUGUCAUAAGGAAUCUCGCUUCGGUCUGUUUGGAGACAAUGUUAGUUUUGGUGCAAGAUAGGUGCAUAGUUUGUGCCUAAUGCACCAUAGUCUAAGAAACCAUUUUUGAUGCAACUGUUUGUACUCAUAGAUGAAGAGGCUCAAGUGGAAGCUCGGUUCGGUCUGUUUGGAGAUAGUGCUAAUCUUGAUGCAAGAUAGGUGCACGGUUUGCAUGGAACAUACCAUAUGCUUGGAAAUCAAUUUCAAUGCACCCGAUGGAACUCCUUGAUGACCUGUGUCAUACGGAAUCUCGCUUUGGUCUGUUUAGAAACAGUGUUAGUUUCGGUGCAAGAUAUGUGCUUGGUUUGCGGCUAAUGCACCAAAGUUUAUGAAACCAUUUUGGAAGCACCAGUUGGUAGUUCGGUGAAGAGGCUCAAGUGGAAGCUCGGUUUGAUCUGUUUGGAGAUAGUGCUAAACUUGAUGCAAGAUAGAUGCACGGUCUGCAUGGAACAUACCAUAUGCUUAGAAAUUAAUUUGGACACAAACAAUAGAACUCCUUGAUGACGUGUGUCAUAUGGAAUCUUGCUUCGGUUCGUUUGUAGAUAUUGUAAAUUUUAGUGCAAGAUAGGUGCACAGUUUGCGCCUAAUGCACCACAGUCUAAGAAACCAUUUUGGAUGCACUGUUUGGUACUCCUUGGUGAAGAGGCUCAAGUGGAAGCUUGGUUCGGUCAGUUUGGAGAUAGUGCUAAUCCUUAUGCAAGGUAGGUGCAUGGUUUGCAUGGAACAUACCAUAUGCUUGGAAAUCAAUUUCGAUGCACCCGAUGGAACUCCUUGAUGACGUGUGUCAUAUGGAAUCUAUCUUCGGUCCAUUUGAGACAUUGUUAGUUUCGGUGCAAGAUAGGUGCACUGUUUGCACCUAUUGCACCAUAGUCUAAGAAACCAUUUUGGACGCACUUGUUGGUACUCCUAGGUGAAGGGGCUCAAGUGGAUGCUCGGUUUGGUCUGUUUGGAGAUAGUGCUAAUCUUGACGCAAGGUAGGUGCAUGGAACAUACCAUAUGUUUGGAAAUCAAUUUGGAUGCACCCGUUGGAACUCCUUGAUGAUGUGUAUCAUAUGGAAUCUCUCUUUGGUCUGUUUAGAAACAGUGUUAGUUUCAGUGCAAGAUAUGUGCAUGAUUUGCGCCUAAUGCACCAUAGUCUAAGAAACCAUUUUGGAAGCACCUGUUGGUACUUCGGUGAAGAGGCUCAAGUGGAAGCUCGGUUUGAUCUGUUUAGAGAUAGUGCUAAUCUUGAUGCAAGAUAGAUGCACGGUCUGCAUGGAACGUACCAUAUGCUUAGAAAUUAAUUUGGACACACCCGAUAGAACUCGUUGAUGACGUGUGUCAUAUGGAAUCUCGCUUUGGUGUGCUUAGAGAUAGUAUUAGUUUCGGUGCAAGAUAUGUGCACGGUUUGCACCUAAUGCACCAAAGUCUAAAAAAACAUUUUGGAAGCAACUAUUGGUACUCCUAGGUGAAGAGGCUCAAGUGGAGGCUCUGUUCGGUCUGUUUAGAGAUAAUGCUAAUGUUGAUGGCUCAAGUGGAAGCUCGGUUUGAUCUGUUUGGAGAUAGCGCUAAUCUUGAUGCAAGAUAGAUGCACGGUCUGCAUGGAACGUACCAUAUGCUUAGAAAUUAAUUUGGACACACCCGAUAGAACUCCUUGAUGACGUGUGUCAUAGGGAAUCUCGCUUUGGUGUGCUUAGAGAUUGUCAGCAUCCCCCAUCCUGGGGACCCUCCAGAGUCUCCAAGGCCCAGAAGAGGGAUGCGGACAAGGCAACCAAGCAGCAGGACAGCUGGGCCGGAGUGGGCCUGUUCGGCCUGUUCAGCAAAAGCUACGAGCGUGAGAGAUAAGUUGGGAAGAGGGGAAAAGAGAGAGACAUGAAUAUUGUAUCUAAACCCUGAACCCUUAAGCACUCUUCCUCCGUGCGGCGCGAUGCCGGCGGCGGCCCUCUUCCUCUCCCUCUUCCUCCAGUAGAAGUAGGAGAUCCGCCAGAUCCUCACCGCAGUGAGUGAGGGUCUAACACUGGUAUCAAAGCCUUCGGCCUGCGACCUCGCGCUGGAUCUCGCCGCCGGCCACCCGCACUUCACCAGGCUGCAACGUGCGCGCGGGGCGAUGGAUCCUGCCGUCAAGACGGCGUUCGAGGAGUUGAUCCGGAGGUUCGACUCCUUCGACGCCAAGUGGGAAGCCAAGUUCGCAGAUGCGGAGACCUUGCGAAGGGAGCGCGAAGAUGAAGCAAAUCGGCGCCUCGCCGCGCUGGAGUCUCUCUCCAGUUCGGUGCCGGGGGCGGCGAUUCGCUUGACCGCUCUGGAGGACUACUGCGUUGCUAACUCCGAGGCCGCAGUGGCCGCAGAGGAGUGGAAUCGCGGGAUCUCCAACCGCGUCGGCUAGCUCGAGGAGAAGAUGGAUGAUCUGGAGCUCAUCCGGUUCUCGGAGAUGCGGGAUGAGCGGGACGACCGUGUGGCGACGUUGGAGGACGCGGCCGCGGUCUUCGACGAGUGGCGUCUGUGGGUGGAGGCCUCCAUCUUCGACGUGCGCAGGGACAUCAAGCUCCUGUCCAGGAGGGAAGAUCCGCCCACGAACGAGAGGCAUUCCGGCUGUCCCGACUUCGCCCACGACCUCGAGUUGGCCUCCGCGCGCCCAUCUGCCGGAGCAAUGGCCGACUGGCCCAGCGGGCACCGCGAGCAGGGCUAUGGGUCGGUCACGACCCUCGCCCACCCACACCUCCACGGUAUGUGUGAUCGUCCUCUUCCUCCCCCUUCGUUUCCUCGAUUGAACCCAAUUCCCCACCCUGCCCCAAAUCCAGUAGCCCAAUUUCCUUUCCAGCAACCUCCAAUCCCUCCCGACCCUCCCAAUCACCUGUACCACCAGUUCUACCAGCCUAUAAACCCACAGCCCCCAACUUCCCAUCCAGUUUUCCCUACCCAGGCUGCUCAGCCUUCUAACCACAUAUCCACUAUCGCCAUCCCAAACCACUCAUCCCCUGUCACAUUUCCAACCUUCAAUUCCGCUCAAUUGGGACGUUUGCCUAAACUGGAUUUUCCCAAAUUUGACGGCGAGCAUGCCCAGUUUUGGAUUACCUGUGCUGUUAACUACUUCGAGAUGUAUGCCGUUGAGCGUCCCAUGUGGAUUCGAGUCGCCACAAUGCAUUUCACUAGCGCAGCCAAGCGUUGGCUUCAAUCCAUUGAACACCUUCUUUCAUCCCUCGACUGGUCGUCCUUCUGUUCGUUGCUGCACGAACGUUUCAGUCGUGAUCAGCAUGAGUUACUGCUCCGUCAACUUUUCAAUAUUCGUCAGACCGGCUCUGUGUCUGAUUACAUUGACAAAUUCACUGAACUCAUUGACCAACUCAAAUCCUACAACCCCAACCCAGAUCUCCUAGCCUACACCACUCGGUUCGUCGAUGGGUUACGUGAGGAUAUCCGCGCUGUUACUCUUGUUGCUCGUCCUACAACCCUGGAUGCUGCGUAUACUCUUGCAUCUUUGCAUGAAGAAGCCGGAGGCCCUUAUCGGACAAGGGACAGGCGGGCGGAUUAUUCUUCCAUGCCCAAGGCAUCCAGUAGCCGUGGCACUGGGGGCGGGUAUUCACCCUAGGGCCGGCUGCCUGACGACAAGCUGCCGGUGUCCAAACCAUCAUCUACUGAUGACAAGGUCUCUUCACUCAAGAGUUAUCGACGUGCCCGCGGAUUGUGUAUCCGUUGUGGAGACAAAUGGGUACCAGGGCACAAAUGUGCAUCUCAGCCUCAAUUGGACGCCUUGCAAGAAGUCUGGGAAUUGUUUCAGGAUUCCUUCCUGGAUGACGAUGUUGAGUCUCCUUCCGAAGACCAGGUCAAUGAGAUCGAUUCUCCAGCUCAGCUGUUUUUCACCUGUGCGGCUGCUAACUCCCAAGGGCCGUCUCUUCAGACUAUGCAGUUCAGUGGGUCAGUAAUGGGGCAGUCUGUCAGCAUUUUGGUCGACUCAGGCAGUUCUCAUUCGUUCAUCAGUCCUGCCGUCGCCUCCCUGUUACCCGGACACCGCUCUUUACCACAUCCUGUCGCCGUCAGGGUAGCCAACGGUGCGGUCCUUCAUUGUGCCACUGAAGUCCCUGAUGUCGAAUGGUCCGUUCAGAAUCUCUCGUUUCACUCAACCUUCAGGGUUCUUCCUCUAGGGUCCUAUGAUGUCAUCUUGGGCAUGGACUGGCUUGCAGCUUUUUCGCCCAUGAAGAUCAAUUGGCGCAGCAAGUGGAUGUCAAUUGCAUAUGGUUCUCGCUCAGUGCUGUUGCAUGGUAUGGGAGCAGACACUGAUGAUUGCUCGGUUGUGCAGCUGUUCAGCAUCUCUUCUGCAGCAGAGGUGGCGCCACCCACGCCGAUUCAUCCCAAGGUCCAAUCUUUACUUGACGAGUUCAGUCAGCUGUUUGCAGAGCCGUCUUCCCUGCCUCCCAGACGCGAUUGUGAUCACUCUAUCCCACUGGUGGCUGGAGCUCAGCCGGUUUGCAUCCGACAGUACCGUUACUCUCCGAAACUGAAGUCUGAGAUCGAGAACCAAGUGUCUGAAUUGCUGCGUACUGGGAUGAUACGCCCUAGUCGCAGCCCAUUCUCUUCCCCAGUCCUUCUUGUCAAGAAAAAGGAUCAGACAUGGCGCAUGUGCGUGGAUUACAGAAUGCUCAACGCCCUGACUGUUAAAAGCAAGUUUCCGAUUCCUGUCAUUGAUGAACUGUUGGACGAGCUCGCUCAUGCCCGCUGGCUUUCAUGUUUGGAUCUUCGCGCUGGCUUUAAUCAGAUCCGCAUGGCCCCGGGCGAGGAAUAUAAAACAACAUUUCAGACUCAUUGGGGGCACUUUGAAUACAAUGUCAUGUCCUUUGGCCUCACCGGUGCACCAAACUUGUUUCAGAGCGCCAUGAAUGCAACAUUGAAGCCUCUCCUGCGUGUCUGUGUGAUAGUAUUCUUUGAUGACAUUUUGGUUUACAGCACCUCCUGGGAGCAACAUCUCGUUCACCUUCGCCAGGUGUUUGAACUUCUACAAAAAGAUCAGUGGCUAGUCAAGUUAAGCAAAUGUCGUUUUGCUCAGGAAUCCAUUGCUUAUCUGGGACAUGUUGUCAGUGCAGCAGGGGUCAGCACUGAUCCCUCAAAGUUGGACUCUAUUCGUUCAUGGCCUCUUCCUGCUGAUGUCAAGCAGCUUCGCAGCUUCCUCGGUCUUGCGGGGUAUUACCGAAAAUUUGUUCAGCACUUCGCUAUCAUUGCUCGCCCCUUGUAUGAUCUGCUCAAGAAGGGUGUAAUUUUUUGUUGGACCGAGGUUCAUUCCACGGCUUUCGCCACCUUGAAGGAUGCUCUCAUGUCAGCACCGGUGCUCAGCUUACCUGAUUUCAACAAGCCUUUUCAGCUUCAGACAGAUGCCAGCGACUCAGGUGUAGGCGCAGUUCUCAUGCAGGACGGUCACCCAUUGGCGUUCGUGAGCAAGUCCCUGGGUCCGCGAACCAGAGGAUUGUCCACCUAUGAUAAAGAGUACUUAGCUAUUAUAGUAGCAGUGGAUCAGUGGCGAUCUUACCUCCAACAUAAUGAGUUUGUCAUUUUCACCGACCAACGCAGCCUCAUACAUGUGACUGAACAACGCCUUCACACCCCUUGGCAACUCAAGAUGUACACUAGGUUGGCGGGGCUGCAGUACCGAGUACUCUAUAAACCUGGGAUCUCCAACAGAGCAGCAGACGCUCUUUCUCGCCACCCUGAUGCUCCUUCACAGUUACAGGCCAUCUCUUCGGUCACGCCUUCAUGGUUGGCAGAGGUGGUGGCUGGGUACAAAAGUGACGCUGCCACAACAAAAAUCCUACAGCAGCUGUCCACCAGUCCGGAUGGCAUGCCGCCUUAGUCUCUUUCUGGUGGGGUCAUUCGCUACAAAGGAAGGAUUUGGUUGGGAAACAACAAACAGAUUCAACUCAGGGUCAUGUCGGCUCUUCACAACAGUGCCUUGGGGGGACAUUCUGGUUUUCCAGUAACUCUGAGCAGGAUCAAACAACACUUCGCCUAGCGAGGAAUGAAGGCUGAUGUCCAUAGUUAUGUGUCGUCCUGCUCCACUUGUCUCCAGGCCAAACCCGACAGGGCAAAAUACCCAGGCUUGUUGUCUCCUCUGCCAGUGCCGACUUCCUCUUGGCAAGUUAUCAGUAUGGACUUCAUUGAUGGGCUUCCUACUUCAGGUCAGGCCAACUGUAUCAUGGUGGUUGUGGACAAAUUUAGCAAAUACGCUCACUUCAUUCCACUCCGUCAUCCUUACUCCGCUGCCAAAGUGGCACAGGAAUUCCUGGAUUCUGUGUUUAAGUUGCAUGGCAUGCCCACCCAUAUCAUCUCGGACAGGGAUCCUGUGUUCACAAGCUCCUUCUAGAAAGAGCUAUUUAGACUCGCUCAGGUACAGUUAUGCCUCAGCUCUGCAUACCACCCACAGUCUGAUGGUCAGACGGAACGUGUGAAUCAGUGCCUCGAGACAUAUCUUCGCUGUUUCGUUCACUCUUGCCCAAAACAGUGGCUCAAAUGGAUUUCUCUAGCCGAGUAUUGGUACAACACCUGCAAGCAUUCUGCACUAGGCCGCUCUCCAUUUGAGGUACUCUACGGUCACACCCCUAAGCAUUUUGGUAUUACUGACGAAGUUGUUUCUCCUGUGCCGGAUGUGGCUUCUAUGGUGGCGGAGCGCCAGACCAUGCUGGCUGCAGUUCGACAGCAUCUCCUGCGUGCCCAGCAACGAAUGAAGAGUCAGGCGGAUAAGAACCGCUCAGAUCGGCAAUUCAGUAUUGGGGACAGUGUUUAUCUUCGGCUGCAGCCAUACGUUCAGUCGUCCCUGGCCCCUCGGUCUCAUCACAAACUGUGUUUCAAGUACUUCGGGCCUUUCAAGAUUGUUGAUAAAAUCGGGACCGUCGCCUACAAGCUGGACCUCCCACCAUCUUCUUCCAUACAUCCGGUAUUUCACGUGUCCCUGCUUAAACCUACUCCUCCGAAUACUGCUGUCUGUUCCCAGUUGCCAGACACCGAUGAUGUUCUUCAAGUCCCCGAGAAGAUACUGCAACGUCGUCUGCACCCUAGCGGCAACCGCACGCUGCACCAGGUGCUCGUCAAGUGGACUGGCUUUGAUGAUGCGCUGGCGACAUGGGAGGACGAGGAAGCUCUCAGGCAGCGCUUCCUGAAGGCGCCGACUUGGGGACAAGCCGUUUCCCAGGGAGGGGGGGUUGUCAGCAUCCCCCAUCCUGGGGACCCUCCAGAGUCUCCAAGGCCCAGAAGAGGGAUGCGGACAAGGCAACCAAGCAGCAGGACAGCUGGGCCGGAGUGGGCCUGUUCGGCCUGUUCAGCAAAAGCUACAAGCGUGAGAGAUAAGUAGGGAAGAGGAGAAAAGAGAGAGACAUGAAGGUUGUAUCUAAACCCUGAACCCUUAAGCACUCUUCCUCCGUGCGGCGCGAUACCGGCGGCGGCCCUCUUCCUCUCCCUCUUCCUCCAGUAGAAGUAGGAGAUCCGCCAGAUCCUCACCGCAGCGAGUGAGGGUCUAACAGAGAUAGUAUUAGUUUCGGUGCAAGAUAUGUGCAUGGUUUGCGCCUAAUGCACCAAAGUCUAAAAAACCAUUUUGGAAGCACCUGUUGGUACUCCUAGGUGAAGAGGCUCAAGUGGAGGCUCUGUUCGGUCUGUUUAGAGAUAAUGCUAAUGUUGAUGCAAGAUAGGUGCACGAUUUGCAUGGAACAUACCAUAUGCUCAGAAAUCUAUUUGGAUGCACCAGAUGGAACUCCUAGAUGACAUGUGUCAUAAGGAAUCUCACUUCGGUCCGUUUAGAGACUGUGUUAGUUUCGGUGCAAGAUAGGUGCACGGUUUGCACCUAAUGCACCAUAGGAUAAGAAACCAUUUUGGACGCACCCCGAUGGUACUCCUAGGUCAAGGGGCUCAAGUGAAAGCUCGGUUUGGUCUGUUUGGAUAUAGUGCUAAUCUUGAUGCAAGAUAGAUGCAUGGUUUGCAUGGAACAUACGAUAUGCUCAGAAAUCAAUUAGGACACACCUGAUAUAACUCCUUGAUGAUGUGUGUCAUAUGGAAUCUUGCUUCGAUUCGUUUAGAGAUAGUGUUAGCUUUGGUAUAAGAUAUGUGCACGGUUUACACCUAAUGCACCAUAGGCUAAGAAACCAUUUUAGACACACCCGAUGGUACUCGUAGUUGAAGAGGCUCAAGUGGAGGCUCUAUUUUGUCUGUUCGGAUAUAGUGCUAAUCUUGAUGCACCAUAGUUGCACAGUUUGCAUGGAACGUACCAUAUGUUAAGAAAUCAAUUUGGACACACCUAAAGGAACUCCUAGAUGACGUGUGCCAUAUGGAAUCUCGUUUUGGUCUGUUUGGAGAAAUUGUUAGUUUUGGUGCAAGAUAGGUGCAUAGUUUGUGCCUAAUGCCCCAUAGUCUAAGAAACCAUUUUUGAUGCAACUGUUUGUACUCCUAGAUGAAGAGGCUCAAGUGGAAGCUCGGUUCGGUCUGUUUAGAGAUAGUGCUAAUCUGAAUGCAAGAUAGGUGCACGGUUUGCAUGGAACAUACCAUAUGCUUGGAAAUCAAUUUGUAUGCACCCGAUGGAACUCCUUGAUGACCUGUGUCAUAUGGAAUCUCGAUUUGGUCUGUUUAGAAACAGUGUUAGUUUCGGUGCAAGAUAUGUGCAUGGUUUGUGGCUAAUGCACCAUAUUUUAAGAAACCAUUUUGGAAGCACCAGUUGGUAGUUCGGUGAAGAGGCUCAAGUGGAAGCUCGGUUUGAUCUGUUUGGAGAUAGUGCUAAACUUGAUGCAAGAUAGAUGCACGGUCUGCAUGGAACAUACCAUAUGCUUAGAAAUUAAUUUGGACACAACCAAUAGAACUCCUUGAUGACGUGUGUCAUAUGGAAUCUUGCUUCGGUUCGUUUGUAGACAUUGUAAGUUUUAGUACAAGAUAGGUGCAUAGUUUGCGCCUAAUGCACCAUAGUCUAAGAAACCAUUUUGGACGCACUGUUUGGUACUCCUUGGUGAAGAGGCUCAAGUGGAAGCUUGGUUCGGUCAGUUUGGAGAUAGUGCUAAUCCUUAUGCAAGGUAGGUGCAUGGUUUGCAUGGAACAUACCAUAUGCUUGGAAAUCAAUUUUGAUGCACCCGAUGGAACUCCUUGAUGACGUGUGUCAUAUGGAAUCUCGCUUCGGUCCAUUUGAGACAUUGUUAGUUUCGGUGCAAGAUAGGUGCACAGUUUGCACCUAAUGCACCAUAGUCUAAGAAACCAUUUUGGACGCACUUGUUGGUACUCCUAGUUGAAGGGGCUCAAGUGGAUGCUCGGUUCGGUAUGUUUGGAGAUAGUGCUCAUCUUGAUGCAAGGUAGGUGCAUGGAACAUACCAUAUGCUUGGAAAUCAAUUUGGAUGCACCCGAUGGAACUCCUUGAUAAUGUGUAUCAUAUGGAAUCUCUCUUUGGUCUGUUUAGAAACAGUGUUAGUUUCGGUGCAAGGUAUGUGCAUGAUUUGCGCCUAAUGCACCAUAGUCUAAGAAACCAUUUUAGACACACCCGAUGGUACUCGUAGUUGAAGAGGCUCAAGUGGAAGCUCGGUUUGAACUAUUUGGAGAUAGUGCUAAUCUUGAUGCAAGAUAGAUGCACGGUCUGCAUGGAACGUACCAUAUGCUUAGAAAUUAAUUUGGACACACCCGAUAGAACUCCUUGAUGACGUGUGUCAUAUGGAAUCUCGCUUUGGUGUGCUUAGAGAUAGUAUUAGUUUCGGUGCAAGAUAUGUGCACGGUUUGCGCCUAAUGCACCAAAGUCUAAAAAACCAUUUUGGAAGCACCUGUUGGUACUCCUAGGUGAAGAGGCUCAAGUGGAGGCUCUGUUCGGUCUGUUUAGAGAUAAUGCUAAUGUUGAUGCAAGAUAGGUGCACGAUUUGCAUGGAACAUACCAUAUGCUCAGAAAUCUAUUUGGAUGCACCAGAUGGAACUCCUAGAUGACAUGUGUCAUAAGGAAUCUCACUUUGGUCCGUUUAGAGACUGUGUUAGUUUCGGUGCAAGAUAGGUGCACGGUUUGCACCUAAUGCACCAUAGGAUAAGAAACCAUUUUGGACGCACCCCGAUGGUACUCCUAGGUCAAGGGGCUCAAGUGAAAGCUCGGUUUGGUCUGUUUGGAUAUAGUGCUAAUCUUGAUGCAAGAUAGAUGCACGGUUUGCAUGGAACAUACGAUAUGCUCAGAAAUCAAUUAGGACACACCUGAUAUAACUCCUUGAUGAUGUGUGUCAUAUGGAAUCUUGCUUCGAUUCGUUUAGAGAUAGUGUUAGCUUUGGUAUAAGAUAUGUGCACGGUUUACGCCUAAUGCACCAUAGGCUAAGAAUCCAUUUUAGACACAACCGAUGGUACUCGUAGUUGAAGAGGCUCAGAGGCUCGAUUUGGUCUGUUCGGAUAUAGUGCUAAUCUUGAUGCAACAUAGUUGCAUAGUUUGCAUGGAACGUACCAUAUGUUAAGAAAUCAAUUUGGACACACCUAAAGGAACUCCUAGAUGACGUAUGUCAUAUGGAAUCUCGCUUUGGUCUAUUUGGAGACAAUGCUAGUUUUGGUGCAAUAUAGGUGCAUAGUUUGUGCCUAAUGUACCAUAGUCUAAGAAACCAUUUUUGAUGCAACUGUUUGUACUCCUAGAUGAAGAGGCUCAAGUGGAAGCUCGGUUCGGUCUGUUUGGAGAUAGUGCUAAUCUUGACGCAAGAUAGGUGCACGGUUUGCAUGGAACAUACCAUAUGCUUGGAAAUCAAUUGGUAUGCACCCGAUGGAACUCCUUGAUAACCUGUGUCAUAUGGAAUCUCGAUUUGGUCUGUUUAGAAACAGUGUUAGUUUCGGUGCAAGAUAUGUGCAUGAUUUGCGCCUAAUGCACCAUAGUCUAAGAAACCAUUUUGGAAGCACCGUUGGUACUUCGGUGAAGAGGCUCAAGUGGAAGCUCGGUUUGAUCUGUUUGGAGAUAGUGCUAAAUUUGAUGCAAGAUAGAUGCACGGUCUGCAUGGAACAUACCAUAAGAUUAGAAAUUAAUUUGGACACAAACAAUAGAACUUCUUGAUGACGUGUGUCAUAUGGAAUCUUGAUUCGGUUCGUUUGUAGACAUUGUAAGUUUUAGUGCAAGAUAGAUGUACAGUUUGCGCCUAAUGCACCAUAGUCUAAGAAACCAUUUUGGACGCACUGUUUGGUACUCCUUGGUGAAGAGGCUCAAGUGGAAGCUUGGUUCGGUCAGUUUGGAGAUAGUGCUAAUUGUAACACCCCAGUGUUAUGGUUGCAUCAAUCACAUGCAUAACAUGAGCAUUAUCAUCUACUCAGGCAUAGCAUGAUCAUCAUCUACCUUGAGCCAUGUCAUUUUAUGCAUAAGUGUGCUUUAACUUGUUUAAUCAUGUUUCCUAUGCUUGUGUUGGUGUGUACCAUGCUUAUAUGUGUGUACUAUGUCUUGGUAAUUAGCUUAUCUAUGCUUAACUCAACCUUAGGAACAAUGUUCAUGUUGAUCACUUCUCCAAAAUAAUUACUUAAGUCAUACUUAAAGUAUAGGCCCUAGAAACCUCUUUUGCUUAGGCUUUUAAAAAGUGUUUCAUAAAAUGUUUGCAUGUUAAAACUAUCUACAGCAAAGUUGUAGCAAAUUUUAUAAGGAACAAAAGUUGUUUUAUGGCCAUCUCAUGAAAAUGAUCACAACUAGCUCAAAAGUGACCCAAAAGGCAGAUUUGGGGCUGUUUCCAACACUUAGAAAAAUUUUCUAAGUUUGGGGACGCUGCAGUUUGCUUGAUUGAUUUUGAAAACUUCAUAUCUUUAAAACCAGGCCGAUCUAGCUCUUGCUCCAGUUGACAAUGUUGUAGAACUCAGCUAGUACUCCAACUUUGUCAACUACACCAUCUCCUAAUUCGUUUUGGUUUGGGAGAUAAUCGUUGUCAAAGUAGCUCUAUCAGUCGGUCAUCGUUUUGUUUGAAUCAGACUCGAGCUCGCCGUCGUGGUCACCCGGCACGACACCUGUCUGCCAUUUGUCGCCCGUACGCCGGUGUUGGCCCCGCCCGUUAGGCCGUCGGCAUCGUCAUGGAUGCCACGACACACCGCACUCACUCAGCACCCGUCCAUUCUCUCCCUGUCCCUCUCUCGCGCUCCGCCUGGCGAAAACGCCGUCGCCAUUGCCGCCGUGAGCUUCGCGAGCUCCUCGCGCCCUCGCCUCUGCGUUUCGCCUCGCCUCCGAGCGUCUCUGAGCCCGCCUCGAGCUCCUCCAUCUCCUUCGCCUCUCGGCUGGACGAGAUCUUCCCUAGGUGAGCGACAUUUCGCGAGUUCGUCGUCGUCGGGUUUGCGGCUGUCGCGACACCGAUUCCGACGAAACUCGCCGCUGCUCCGUUCUCGCCUCCUUUCUUCCUUCUGAGUCGCGUUAAGGUUUGCUUAGGUCUUGGCGUCGGUUCACGCCAUGCCAUUCUAGCUGAAACACCACCGUCGUGCGGGAACACGGCCGCCGCACCGCCGUGCUCACCGCCGACGAGCACCUCGCACGUGAGCAGACUCACCGGAGUCAUUAGGGUUAGGCGUUUCUACCUAGAAAGCUCCGCGCUAGCUCACUGAUGCUUAAGCCGCCCUUCCCCGACGCUCUACCGGUCGGAGGUGGCCGGCGUAAGCCGGGGUAGCUCCGCCGUGCCGCCAUGGCCGACGGCGACCCCUCUCCGUCACUAGAACCCUAGCGCAACCUACCUCCAUCGAUGCGGAAUCACUCCAGGAUCACGCUGGUGCCCUUGGAUCCGCCGGAGAAGCUCACCGUCGGCGAGCAUUCGCCGGUGAAGGCGUCCUCUGUUCUCUGGGUCGCUGACGCGCGGGACCCGCUGUCAGCGACUCAACGGUCUUCUCCUUUCUUUUAUUCAAAUCCAGAUUUUUGGCUUUCUUGCAAAAAUCAUAUCUCCUAUUUCUGAGAUCCAAAAAUUGUGAAACCAAUUUGUGAGAUUCCUUGAGAUGGCUAUUGUUUUGUAAAAAUAUAAAAUGAACCAUAUUUUCUAGGAAAAAUAUUUAUUAGGAUUUAAUCUUGUUAUUUAUGAGUGAAUUCAUAUCUCUUAUUAUACUGCUCAUCUGGCUAUGAAAUUUUUAUGGUAGUCUCUGAGUGGUAUGAGAAUGCUACGAUAAAUAUUUCAUGAUUUUUGGAGUACUACAUCUGUGAUAUGUAAUUUAUGAUUGAGAUAUGGCUUGUUUUCUUAAUUAAAUCAUAGUAAAUAAUUGAUGCUUAUGCUGGUGCUCUACUUUGGUGUCACACUUCUUUAUGGUAAUAGUAGUAUGUAAAUAAUCUGAAAUCUGUUGUUUGACACUAAAUAAGCCAUGUUUCUGAAUUUAUGAAAUAAACACCUUGUCACAUGUUAAAUGCUUAUCUCAAUUUUGGCAUGUGCUUGCUCUGAAAAUUUUAUGGUAAGGUAUAGAUGCUAUGCUUGUGCUUCUGUAAUUUUUGUAGAUUUUUCUGAGCACCUUUGCUGGUAUCUUGUAAUAACGCUCUUUUAUAGAAUUAAAUUGAUAAAUGCUUUAUUAGUUAAUAUCUAGGGGUUAACAAAUGAUGUUCUGGUUGUCUUAUGAUAUGCUUGUGCUUGUAAGCCAUUUGGCUGGUACUAGAUAUGUUUUGGUUAUGUCAUCAAAUAAUUAAUUAGAGGGUUAAGAGCUGCCCUGGACAGCAAGGGGGUAAUCUAACCUUUACAUGUUGAUAACUUGGUUUGCUGGAAGACUUGUCUAAAUCAAAGUUGUUGUAAACUGUAUAAUCUAGCUGUGGUUUAAUUUUGGGAUCAUUUUGUUCAAUAAUUUGAAAGAUAUAGCUUAUCCAAGUUGGGUUCCAGAAAUAGGUGCUUUCUGUUUUUCUGGGACAGAACCUGGAACUUUGUUUAUAUGACUUGUUUAACUUAUGAAUCUUGCUGUGAUGUUUAAAUAUGAGUUGUAGACAAUUUCAUAAGCUUUCUAGAAUGUCCUCAUUUAUGUUUGUUGGAUCCUUAUAGCAAUAGUUAUGAAUUGUUUACUGAGCUUUUCUAUUAUAAUGCUUGCUGUUUUAGGUUGACUUGGUAGGUUUUUGCUAAGUUAACUAAUUACCUUGUGUAGACUUGUUAUAACGAUUACUCCAUAAAUGAGUGUCCAGUGAGUCUAAUUAGGUUAUCAAGCAUUCAUCCUCGUCCAGCAUGCACCCAUUCUUACUUAAUCAUGCAUGCAAUAGGUGCACCGGACGCGACAGUUUUGUUCGAGCUCCAAGCGAACCCCGAAGGCCAGGAGGGCAACCCGGAGGUGGAGGUCCAGCAAGCCGGACCCGAGGAGCCCGAAGAAGAGGUUGAGUGCCCUAACCACGAGCCAGCUUCGUUCGUGAAAGGCAAGCUCCGGAGCAUCUUAAGUCUCCCACUUUAAUUUCGAAAGCUUACUUGGCUAUGUUAUACUUAUUGAUGCAUUUACUUAUAGGAGUUGUGAUGAAACCCUUGCUGCAUGUUACUCAAUCCUUGUCGAGAUAUCUUACCACUACCUGGUUAUAGAGUUAGGAUCGAGUAGCAGCUUAGUCAUGCUUUAAUCGGUAGAAGUCUGGUGAUAUCCUGUCACCUGCGCGAGAUAGGGUUGAGUCGGAUCACGAUUGUCUAUAUGUGCUAUCGUGGAAAGAACCUGAUUAAAUUGACAUAAGCCGGGCGGAGUUUUGCAAGGUUGUAGUAACUCCGUCUGUGGCAGCUAAGGACCGACCGUUGUACGUCCUCUUGUCAUGUUGAACGCAUGCCUAACACUUAGUUGGCCGGAUAACUCGUUCAGACCGCGAAGCCUAGUAGUAUGACUCAGGCCGGAAGACUGGCAAGUAUAAAGUGCGCACUACCGGAGGAAGUGCGGUGUGCGGGGGACCAUUGGCGUAAGACCAAAGGCAGGUGAGUAAAAAUUCUGACUUCCCUGGCAGAGUGGUAGCCCUGGGAGUGCGGCGCUGAUCGGAGCCGCGAUUCCUGAGUCGUACCAAAGGAGACCCGUUGGCUCUCCGACGGGGGAUGCUUGGGUGAGUGCUAGGAAUAACCCUCCAGCUGGAUAGGAAUUGAUUCGAAUCGCCGUCUCUCCCGGAUAGUGAGAACUUGACAGAGCAGUGGCAAAUGUAGCAUUCACUAAAGGACAAUGGUUCAUAAUAAUGAUGAUAGCAAGGAAGAGCAUAUGAUGAACUUGAUAUGGUUAUUAUUGCUUGUAAUAAUCAAGUGAUGUGUUUAGUACAGGUGCUAACUAGUGAUAGGCUAAUAAUGAUUAAUAUGAUGCUUUUACAAUAAUAUAGCUAUCAGUUAAGCUUUUGGCAAUUGUUAAGUCAAACUAGCUCCACUAUGUACUUAGCCUUGCAUGAUCCUUGGUGUCUUUUAUGUUUUACUAGACGGGUAAGUCUAGCUGAGUACAUCCUCGUACUCAAGGUUUAUUCCCACCUGUUGCGAUGAUAUCUUUUAUGAUGGCUUCUGCAAGACCUGUCUCCAUCCCUCUGGGGAUGAGGACUAAACCGUUGGGCACGAUUCUCUAACUACUUUGUACCUGUUGCUUUUGGAUGGAUGGCAUGAGACCCUGGCUGAACAUGAACUUGUGAAAUGAACUUUGGAAAGUGUGUGUAACUAUUUUGCUUCCGCUACUACAAACAUGUGUUGUAAUAACUAAGUAACUCCAAUGUGGUGCCGCUUCGACGGCAAUGAGUGACUAUGUAACAUUCGCUGUGUUAUGUUGAACUAUUACGAUCUUGGUUUAUUGCAAGUUGGUUUCAAGUCCUUCGUGAUUUCAGUUGACUACCGGGAUUAUAUGGGCUCAAGUUUGGAAACUUGAUUGCUUGCCUAUCGUUUCUACACUUGAACUCUUAUAAUUUAGUCGGUUCUGUGACACUAAUCCUUACGCAAGGUAGGUACAUGGUUUGCAUGGAACAUACCAUAUGCUUGGAAAUCAAUUUCGAUGCACCCGAUGGAACUCCUUGAUGACGUGUGUCAUAUGGAAUCUCGCUUCGGUCCAUUUGGAGACAUUGUUAGUUUCGGUGCAAGAUAGGUGCACAGUUUGCACCUAAUGCACCAUAGUCUAAGAAACCAUUUUGGACGCACUUGUUGGUACUCCUAGGUGAAGGGGCUCAAGUGGAUGCUCGGUUCGGUCUGUGUGGAGAUAGUGCUAAUCUUGAUGCAAGGUACGUGCAUGGAACAUACCAUAUGCUUGGAAAUCAAUUUGGAUGCACCCGAUGGAACUCCUUGAUGAUGUGUAUCAUAUAGAAUCUCUCUUUGGUCUGUUUAGAAACAGUGUUAGUUUCGGUGCAAGAUAUGUGCAUGGUUUGCGCCUAAUGCACCAUAGUCUAAGAAACCAUUUUGGAAGCACCUGUUGGUACUUCGGUGAAGAGGCUCAAGUGGAAGCUCGGUUUGAUCUGUUUGGAGAUAUUGCUAAUCUUGAUGCAAGAUAGAUGCACGGUCUGCAUUGAACGUACCAUAUGCUUAGAAAUUAAUUUGGACACACCCGAUAGAACUCCUUGAUGACGUGUGUCAUAUGGAAUCUCGCUUGGUGUGCUUAGAGAUAGUAUUAGUUUCGGUGCAAGAUAUGUGCACAGUUUGCGCCUAAUGCACCGAAGUCUAAAAAACCAUUUUGGAAGCACCUGUUGGUACUCCUAGGUGAAGAGGCUCAAGUGGAGGCUCUGUUCGUUCUGUUUAGAGAUAAUGCUAAUGUUGAUGCAAGAUAGGUGCACGAUUUGCAUGGAACAUACCAUAUGCUCAGAAAUCUAUUUGGAUGCACCAGAUGGAACUCCUAGAUGGCAUGUGUCAUAUGGAAUCUCACUUUGGUCCGUUUAGAGAUUGUGUUAGUUUCGGUGCAAGAUAGGUGCACGGUUUGCACCUAAUGCACCAUAGGAUAAGAAACCAUUUUGUUCACACCUGAUGGUACUCCUAGGUCAAGGGGCUCAAGUGAAAGCUCGGUUUGGUCUGUUUGGAUAUAGUGCUAAUCUUGAUGCAAGAUAGAUGCAAGGUUUGCAUGGAACAUACGAUAUGCUCAGGAAUCAAUUAGGACACACCUGAUAUAACUCCUUGAUGAUGUGUGUCAUAUGGAAUCUUGCUUCGAUUCGUUUAGAGAUAGUAUUAGCUUUGCUAUAAGAUAUGUGCACGGUUUACGCCUAAUGCACCAUAGGCUAAGAAACCAUUUUAGACACACCUGAUGGUACUCCUAGUUGAAGAGGCUCAAGUGGAGGCUCGAUUUGGUCUGUUCGGAUAUAGUGCUAAUCUUGAUGCAACAUAGUUGGACAGUUUGCAUGGAACGUACCAUAUGUUAAGAAAUCAAUUUGGACACACCUAAAGGAACACAAUGCCGUGUGUCAUAUGGAAUCUCGCUUCGGUCUGUUUGGAGACAAUGUUAGUUUUGGUGCAAGAUAGGUGCAUAGUUUGUGCCUAAUGCACCAUAGUCUAAGAAACCAUUUUUGAUGCAACUGUUUGUACUCCUAGAUGAAGAGCCUCAAGUGGAAGCUCGGUUCGGUCUGUUUGGAGAUAGUGUUAAUCUUGAUGCAAGAUAGAUAGGUCCACGGUUUGCAUGGAACAUACCAUAUGCUUGGAAAUCAAUUUGUAUGCACCCGAUGGAACUCCUUGAUGACCUGUGUCAUAUGGAAUCUCGCUUUGGUCUGUUUAGAAACAGUGUUAGUUUUGGUGCAAGAUAUGUGCAUGGUUUGCGCCUAAUGCACCAUAGUUUAAGAAACCAUUUUGGAAGCACCUGUUGGUAGUUCGGUGAAGAGGCUCAAGUGGAAGCUCGGUUUGAUCUGUUUGGAGAUAGUGCUAAACUUGAUGCAAGAUAGAUGCACGGUCUGCAUGGAACAUACCAUAUGCUUAGAAAUUAAUUUGCACACAAACAAUAGAACUCCUUGAUGACGUGUGUCAUAUGGAAUCUUGCUUCGGUUCGUUUGUAAACAUUGUAAGUUUUAGUACAAGAUAGGUGCAUAGUUUGCGCCUAAUGCACCAUAGUCGAAGAAACCAUUUUGGACGCACUGUUUGGUACUCCUUGGUGAAGAGGCUCAAGUGGAAGCUUGGUUCGGUCAGUUUGGAGAUAGUGCUAAUCCUUAUGCAAGGUAGGUGCUUGGUUUGCAUGGAACAUACCAUAUGCUUGGAAAUCAAUUUCGAUGCACCCGAUGGAAGUCCUUGAUGACGUGUGUCGUAUGGAAUCUCGCUUCGGUCCAUUUGAGACAUUGUUAGUUUCGGUGCAAGAUAGGUGCACAGUUUGCACCUAAUGCACCAUAGUCUAAGAAACCAUUUUGGACGCACUUGUUGGUACUCCUAGGUGAAGGGGCUCAAGUGGAUGCUCGGUUUGGUCUGUUUGGAGAUAGUGCUAAUCUUGAUGCAAGGUUGGUGCAUGGAACAUACCAUAUGUUUGGAAAUCAAUUUGGAUGCACCCGAUGGAACUCCUUGAUGAUGUGUAUCAUAUGGAAUCUCUCUUUGGUCUGUUUAGAAACAGUGUUAGUUUCGGUGCAAGAUAUGUGCAUGAUUUGCGCCUAAUACACCAUAGUCUAAGAAACCAUUUUGGAAGCACCUGUUGGUACUUCGGUGAAGAGGCUCAAGUGGAAGCUCGGUUUGAUCUGUUUGGAGAUAGUGCUAAUCUUGAUGCAAGAUAGAUGCACGGUCUGCAUGGAACGUACCAUAUGCUUAGAAAUUAAUUUGGACACACCCGAUAGAACUCCUUGAUGACGUGUGUCAUAUGGAAUCUCGCUUUGGUGUGCUUAGAGAUAGUAUUAGUUUCGGUGCAAGAUAUGUGCACGGUUUGCACCUAAUGCACCAAAGUCUAAAAAACCAUUUUGGAAGCAACUAUUGGUACUCCUAGGUGAAGAGGCUCAAGUGGAGGCUCUGUUCGGUCUGUUUAGAGAUAAUGCUAAUGUUGAUGCAAGAUAGGUGCACGAUUUGCAUGGAACAUACCAUACGCUCAGAAAUCUAUUUGGAUGCACCAGAUGGAACUCCUAGAUGACAUGUGUCAUAAGGAAUCUCACUUCGGUCCGUUUAGAGACUGUGUUAGUUUCGGUGCAAGAUAGGUGCACGGUUUGCACCUAAUGCACCAUAGGAUAAGAAACCAUUUUGGACGCACCCCGAUGGUACUCCUAGGUCAAGGGGCUCAAGUGAAAGCUCGGUUUGGUCUGUUUGGAUAUAGUGCUAAUCUUGAUGCAAGAUAGAUGCACGGUUUGCAUGGAACAUACGAUAUGCUCAGAAAUCAAUUAGGACACACCUGAUAUAACUCCUUGAUGAUGUGUGUCAUAUGGAAUCUUGCUUCGAUUCGUUUAGAGACAGUGUUAGCUUUGGUAUAAGAUAUGUGCACGGUUUACGCCUAUUGCACCAUAGGCUAAGAAACCAUUUUAGACACACCCGAUGGUACUCGUAGUUGAAGAGGCUCAUGUGGAGGCUCUAUUUUGUCUGUUCGGAUAUAGUGCUAAUCUUGAUGCACCAUAGUUGCACAGUUUGCAUGGAACGUAUCAUAUGUUAAGAAAUCAAUUUGGACACACCUAAAGGAACUCCUAGAUGACGGGAGACAAUGUUAGUUUUGGUGCAAGAUAGGUGCAUAGUUUGUGCCUAAUGCACCAUAGUCUAAGAAACCAUUUUUGAUACAACUGUUUGUACUCCUAGAUGAAGAGGCUCAAGUGGAGGCUCGGUUCGGUCUGUUUAGAGAUAGUGCUAAUCUUGAUGCAAGAUAGGUGCACGGUUUGCAUGGAACAUACCAUAUGCUUGGAAAUCAAUUUGUAUGCACCCGAUGAAACUCCUUGAUGACCUGUGUCAUAUGGAAUCUCGAUUUGGUCUGUUUAGAAACAGUGUUAGUUUCGGUGCAAGAUAUGUGCAUGGUUUGUGGCUAAUGCACCAUAGUUUAAGAAACCAUUUUGGAAGCACCAGUUGGUAGUUCGGUGAAGAGGCUCAAGUGGAAGCUCGGUUUAAUCUGUUUGGAGAUAGUGCUAAACUUGAUGCAAGAUAGAUGCACGGUCUGCAUGGAACAUACCAUAUGCUUAGAAAUUAAUUUGGACACAAACAAUAGAACUCCUUGAUGACCUGUGUCAUAUGGAAUCUUGCUUCGGUUCGUUUGUAGACAUUGUAAGUUUUAGUACAAGAUAGGUGCAUAGUUUGCGCCUAAUGCACCAUAGUCUAUGAAACCAUUUUGGACGCACUGAUUGGUACUCCUUGGUGAAGAGGCUCAAGUGGAAGCUUGGUUCGGUUAGUUUGGAGAUAGUGCUAAUCCUUAUGCAAGGUAGGUGCAUGGUUUGCAUGGAACAUACCAUAUGCUUGGAAAUCAAUUUCGAUGCACCCGAUGGAACUCCUUGAUGACUGUGUCAUAUGGAAUCUCGCUUCGGUCCAUUUGAGACAUUGUUAGUUUCGGUGCAAGAUAGAUGCACAGUUUGCACCUAAUGCACCAUAGUCUAAGAAACCAUUUUGGACGCACUUGUUGGUACUCCUAGGUGAAGGGGCUCAAGUGGAUGCUCGGUUCGGUCUGUUUGGAGAUAGUGCUAAUCUUGAUGCAAGGUAGGUGCAUGGAACAUACCAUAUGCUUGGAAAUCAAUGUGAUGCACCCGGUGGAACUCCUUGAUAAUGUGUGUCAUAUGGAAUCUCUCUUUGGUCUGUUUAGAAACAGUGUUAGUUUCGGUGCAAGAUAUGUGCAUGAUUUGCGCCUAAUGCACCAUAGUCUAAGAAACCAUUUUGGAAGCACCUGUUGGUACUUCACUGAAGAGGCUCAAGUGGAAGCUCGGUUUGAUCUGUUUGGAGAUAGUGCUAAUCUUGAUGCAAGAUAGAUGCACGGUCUGCAUGGAACGUACCAUAUGCUUAGAAAUUAAUUUGGACACACCCGACAGAACUCCUUGAUGACGUGUGUCAUAUGGAAUCUCGCUUUGGUGUGCUUAGAGAUAGUAUUAGUUUCGGUGCAAGAUAUGUGCACGGUUUGCGCCUAAUGCACCAAAGUCUAAAAAACCAUUUUGGAAGCACCUGUUGGUACUCCUAGGUGAAGAGGCUCAAAUGGAGGCUCUGUUCAGUCUGUUUAGAGAUAAUGCAAAUGUUGAUGCAAGAUAGGUGCACGAUUUGCAUGGGACAUACCAUAUGCUUAGAAAUCUAUUUGGAUGCACCAGAUGGAACUCCUAGAUGACAUGUGUCAUAAGGAAUCUCACUUCGGUCCGUUUAGAGACUGUGUUAGUUUCGGUGCAAGAUAGGUGCACGGUUUGCACCUAAUGCACCGUAGGAUAAGAAACCAUUUUGGACGCACCCUGAUGGUACUCCUAGGUCAAGGGGCUCAAGUGAAAGCUCGGUUUGGUCUGUUUGGAUAUAGUGCUAAUCUUGAUGCAAGAUAGAUGCACGGUUUGCAUGGAACAUACGAUAUGCUCAGAAAUCAAUUAGGACACACCUGAUAUAACUCCAUGAUGAUGUGUGUCAUAUGGAAUCUUGGUUCGAUUCGUUUAGAGAUAGUGUUAGCUUUGGUAUAAGAUAUGUGCACGGUUUACGCCUAAUGCACCAUAGGCUAAGAAUCCAUUGUAGACACACCCGAUGGUACUCGUAGUUGAAGAGGCUCAGAGGCUCGAUUUGGUCUGUUCGGAUAUAGUGCUAAUCUUGAUGCAACAUAAUUGCAUAGUUUGCAUGGAACGUACCAUAUGUUAAGAAAUCAAUUUGGACACACCUAAAGGAACUCCUAGAUGACGUGUGUCAUAUGGAAUCUCGCUUUGGUCUAUUUGGAGACAAUGUUAGUUUUGGUGCAAUAUAUGUGCAUAGUUUGUGCCUAAUGCACCAUAGUCUAAGAAACCAUUUUUGAUGCAACUGUUUGUACUCCUAGAUGAAGAGGCUCAAGUGGAAGCUCGGUUCGGUCUGUUUGGAGAUAGUGCUAAUCUUGAGGCAAGAUAGGUGCAUGGUUUGCAUGGAACAUACCAUAUGCUUGGAAAUCAAUUUGUAUGCACCCGGUGGAACUCCUUGAUGACCUGUGUCAUAUGGAAUCUCGAUUUGGUCUGUUUAGAAACAGUGUUAGUUUCGGUGCAAGAUAUGUGCAUGGUUUGCGCCUAAUGCACCAUAGUUUAAGAAACCAUUUUGGAAGCACCAGUUGGUAGUUCGGUGAAGAGGCUCAAGUGGAAGCUCGGUUUGAUCUGUUUGGAGAUAGUGCUAAACUUGAUGCAAGAUAGAUGCACGGUCUGCAUGGAACAUACCAUAAGCUUAGAAAUUAAUUUGGACACAAACAAUAGAACUCCUUGAUGACGUGUGUCAUAUGGAAUCUUGUUUCGGUUCGUUUGUAGACAUUGUAAGUUUUAGUGCAAGAUAGGUGUACAGUUUGCGCCUAAUGCACCAUAGUCUAAGAAACCAUUUUGGACGCACUGUUUGGUACUCCUUGGUGAAGAGGCUCAAGUGGAAGCUUGGUUCAGUCAGUUUGGAGAUAGUGCUAAUUGUAACACCCCAGUGUUAUGGUUGCAUCAAUCACAUGCAUAACAUGAGCAUUAUCAUCUACUCAAGCAUAGCAUGAUCAUCAUCUACCUUGAGCCAUGUCAUUUUAUGCUUAAGUGUGCUUUAACUUGUUUAAUCAUGUUUCCUAUGCUUGUGUUGGUGUGUACCAUGCUUAUAUGUGUGUACUAUGUCUUGCUCCAGUUGACAAUGUUGUAGAACUCAGCUAGUACUCCAACUUUGUCAACUACACCAUCUCCUAAUUCGUUUUGGUUUGGGAGAUAAUCAUUGUCAAAGUAGCUCUAUCAGUCGGUCAUCGUUUUGUCUGAAUCAGACUCGAGCUCGCCGUCGUGGUCACCCGGCGCGACACCUGUCCGCCAUUUGUCGCCCGUACGCCGGCGUUGGCCCCGCCCGUCAGGCCGUCGGCGUCGUCAUGGACGCCACGACACACCGCACUCACUCAGCGCCCGUCCAUUCUCUCCCUGUCUCUCUCUCACGCUCCGCCUGGCGAAAACGCCGUCGCCAUUGCCGCCGUGAGCUUCACGAGCUCCUCGCGCCCUCGCCUCUGCGUUUCGCCUCGCCUCCGAGCGUCUCUGAGCCCGCCUCGAGCUCCUCCAUCUCCUCCGCCUCUCGGCUGGACGAGAUCUUCCCUAGGUGAGCGACAUUUCGCGAGUUCGUCGUCGUCGGGUUUGCGGCUGUCGCGACACCGAUUCCGACGAAACUCGCCGCUGCUCCGUUCUCGCCUCCUUUCUUCCUUCUGAGUCGCGUUAAGGUUUGCUUAGGUCUUGGCGUCGGUUCACGCCACGCCAUUCUGGCUGAAACACCACCGUCGUGCGGGAACACGGCCGCCGCACCGCCGUGCUCACCGCCGACGAGCACCUCGCACGUGAGCAGACUCACCGGAGUCAUUAGGGUUAGGCGUUUCUACCUAGAAAGCUCCGCGCUAGCUCACUGAUGCUUAAGCCGCCCUUCCCCGACGCUCUACCGGUCGGAGGUGGCCGGCGUAAGCCGGGGUAGCUCCGCCGUGCCGCCAUGGCCGAUGGCGACCCCUCUCCGUCACUAGAACCCUAGCGCCACCUACCUCCAUCGAUGCGGAAUCACUCCAGGAUCACGCUGGUGCCCUUGGAUCCGCCGGAGAAGCUCACUGUCGGCGAGCAUUCGCCGGUGAAGGCGUCCUCUGUUCUCUGGGUCGCUGACGCGCGGGACCCACUGUCAGCGACUCAACGGUCUUCUCCUUUCUUUUAUUCAAAUCCAGAUUUUUGGCUUUCUUGAAAAAAUCAUAUCUCCUAUUUCUGAGAUCCAAAAAUUGUGAAACCAAUUUUGUGAGAUUCCUUGAGAUGGCUAUUGUUUUGUAAAAAUAUAAAAUGAACCAUAUUUUCUAGGAAAAAUAUUUAUUAGGAUUUAAUCUUGUUAUUUAUGAGUGAAUUCAUAUCUCUUGUUAUACUGCUCAUCUGGCUAUGAAAUUUUUAUGGUAGUCUCUGAGUGGUAUGAGAAUGCUAUGAUAAAUAUUUCAUGAUUUUUGGAGUACUACAUCUGUGAUAUGUAAUUUAUGAUUCAGAUAUGGCUUGUUUUCUUAAUUAAAUCAUAGUAAAUAAUUGAUGCUUAUGCUGGUGCUAUACUUUGGUGUCACACUUAUUUAUGGUAAUAGUAGUAUGUAAAUAAUCUGAAAUUUGUUGUUUGACACUAAAUAAGCCAUGUUUCUGAAUUUAUGAAAUAAACACCUUGUCACAUGUUAAAUGCUUAUCUCAAUUUUGGCAUGUGCUUGCUCUGAAAAUUUUAUGGUAAGGUAUAGAUGCUAUGCUUGUGCUUCUGUAAUUUUUGUAGAUUUUUCUGAGCACCUUUGCUGGUAUCUUGUAAUAACGCUCUUUUAUAGAAUUAAAUUGAUAAAUGCUUUAUUAGUUAAUAUCUAGGGGUUAACAAAUGAUGUUCUGGUUGUCUUAUGAUAUGCUUGUGCUUGUAAGCCAUUUGGCUGGUACUAGAUGUGUUUUGGUUAUGUCAUCAAAUAAUUAAUUAGAGGGUUAAGAGCUGCCCUGGACAGCAAGGGGGUAAUCUAACCUUUACAUGUUGAUAACUUGGUUUGCUGGAAGACUUGUCUAAAUCAAAGUUGUUGUAAACUGUAUAAUCUAGCUGUGGUUUAAUUUUGGGAUCAUUUUGUUCAAUAAUUUGAAAGAUAUAGCUUAUCCAAGUUGGGUUCCAGAAAUAUGUGCUUUCUGUUUUUCUGGGACAGAACCUGGAACUUUGUUUAUAUGACUUGUUUAACUUAUGAAUCUUGCUGUGAUGUUUAAAUAUGAGUUGUAGACAAUUUCAUAAGCUUUCUAGAAUGUCCUCAUUUAUGUUUGUUGGAUCCUUAUAGCAAUAGUUAUGAAUUGUUUACUGAGCUUUUCUAUUAUAAUGCUUGCUGUUUUAGGUUGACUUGGUAGGUUUUUGCUAAGUUAACUAAUUACCUUGUGUAGACUUGUUAUAACGAUUACUCCAUAAAUGAGUGUCCAGUGAGUCUAAUUAGGUUAUCAAGCAUUCAUCCUCGUCCAGCAUGCACCCAUUCUUACUUAAUCAUGCAUGCAAUAGGUGCACCGGACGCGACAGUUUUGUUCGAGCUCCAAGCGAACCCCGAAGGCCAGGAGGGCAACCCGGAGGUGGAGGUCCAGCAAGCCGGACCCGAGGAGCCCGAAGAAGAGGUUGAGUGCCCUAACCACGAGCCAGCUUCGUUCGUGAAAGGCAAGCUCCGGAGCAUCUUAAGUCUCCCACUUUAAUUUCGAAAGCUUACUUGGCUAUGUUAUACUUAUUGAUGCAUUUACUUAUAGGAGUUGUGAUGAAACCCUUGCUGCAUGUUACUCAAUCCUUGUCGAGAUAUCUUACCACUACCUGGUUAUAGAGUUAGGAUCGAGUAGCAGCUUAGUCAUGCUUUAAUCGGUAGAAGUCUGGUGAUAUCCUGUCACCUGCGCGAGAUAGGGUUGAGUCGGAUCACGAUUGUCUAUAUGUGCUAUCGUGGAAAGAACCUGAUUAAAUUGACAUAAGCCGGGCGGAGUUUUGCAAGGUUGUAGUAACUCCGUCUGUGGCAGCUAAGGACCGACCGUUGUACGUCCUCUUGUCAUGUUGAACGCAUGCCUAACACUUAGUUGGCCGGAUAAUUCGUUCCGACCGCGAAGCCUAGUAGUAUGACUCAGGCCGGAAGACCGGCAAGUAUAAAGUGCGCACUACCGGAGGAAGUGCGGUGUGUGGGGGACCAUUGGCGUAAGACCAAAGGCAGGUGAGUUAAAAUUCCUGACCUCCCUAGCAGAGUGGUAGCCCUGGGAGUGCGGCGCUGAUCGGAGCCGCGAUUCCUGAGUCGUACCAAAGGUGACCCGUUGGCUCUCCGACGGGGGAUGCUUGGGUGAGUGCUAGGAAUAACCCUCCAGCUGGAUAGGAAUCGAUUCGAAUCGCCGUCUCUCCCGGAUAGUGAGAACUUGACAGAGCAGUGGCAAACGUAGCAUUCACUAAAGGACAAUGGUUCAUAAUAAUGAUGAUAGCAAGGAAGAGCAUAUGAUGAACUUGAUAUGGUUAUUAUUGCUUGUAAUAAUCAAGUGAUGUGUUUAGUACAGGUGCUAAUCUAGUGAUAGGCUAAUAAUGAUUAAUAUGAUGCUUUUACAAUAAUAUAGCUAUCAGUUAAGCUUUUGGCAAUUGUUAAGUCAAACUAGCUCCACAAUGUACUUAGCCUUGCAUGAUCCUUGGUGUCUUUUAUAUUUUACUAGACGGGUAAGUCUAGCUGAGUACAUCCUCGUACUCAAGGUUUAUUCCCACCUGUUGCAGAUGAUAUCUUUUAUGAUGGCUUCUGCUAGACCUGUCUCCAUCCCUUUGGGGAUGAGGACUAAACCGUUGGGCACGGUUCUCUAACUACUUCGUACCUGUUGCUUUUGGAUGGAUGGCAUGAGACCCUGGCUGAACAUGAACUUGUGAAAUGAACUUUCGAAAGUGUGUGUAACUAUUUUGCUUCCGCUACUACAAACAUGUGUUGUAAUAACUAAGUAACUCCGAUGUGGUGCCGCUUCGAUGGCAAUGAGUGACUAUGUAACAUUCGCUGUGUUAUGUUGAACUAUUACGAUCUUGGUUUGUUGCAAGUUGGUUUCAAGUCCUUCGUGAUUUCAGUUGACUACCGGGAUUAUAUGGGCUCAAGCUUGGAAACUUGAUUGCUUGCCUAUCGUUUCUAUACUUGAACUCUUAUAAUUUGGUCGGUUCUGUGACACUAAUCCUUACGCAAGGUAGGUGCAUGGUUUGCAUGGAACAUACCAUAUGCUUGGAAAUCAAUUUCGAUGCACCCGAUGGAACUCCUUGAUGACGUGUGUCAUAUGGAAUCUCGCUUCGGUCCAUUUGGAGACAUUGUUAGUUUCGGUGCAAGAUAGGUGCACAGUUUGCACCUAAUGCACCAUAGUCUAAGAAACAAUUUUGGACGCACUUGUUGGUACUCCUAGGUGAAGCGGCUCAAGUGGAUGCUCGGUUCGGUCUGUGUGGAGAUAGUGCUAAUCUUGAUGCAAGGUAGGUGCAUGGAACAUACCAUAUGCUUGGAAAUCAAUUUGGAUGCACCCGAUGGAACUCCUUGAUGAUGUGUAUCAUAUAGAAUCUCUCUUUGGUCUGUUUCGAAACAGUGUUAGUUUCGGUGCAAGAUAUGUGCAUGGUUUGCGCCUAAUGCACCAUAGUCUAAGAAACCAUUUUGGAAGCACCUGUUGGUACUUCGGUGAAGAGGCACAAGUGGAAGCUCGGUUUGAUCUGUUUGGAGAUAUUGCUAAUCUUGAUGCAGGAUAGAUGCACGGUCUGCAUUGAACGUACCAUAUGCUUAGAAAUUAAUUUGGACACACCCGAUAGAACUCCUUGAUGAUGUGUGUCAUAUGGAAUCUCGCUUUGGUGUGCUUAGAGAUAGUAUUAGUUUCGGUGCAAGAUAUGUGCACAGUUUGCGCCUAAUGCACUAGAGUCUAAAAAACCAUUUUGGAAGCACCUGUUGGUACUCCUAGGUGAAGAGGCUCAAGUGGAGGCUCUGUUCGGUCUGUUUAGAGAUAAUGCUAAUGUUGAUGCAAGAUAGGUGCACGAUUUGCAUGGAACACACCAUAUGCUCAGAAAUCUAUUUGGAUGCACCAGAUGGAACUCCUAGAUGGCAUGUGUCAUAUGGAAUCUCACUUCGGUCCGUUUAGAGAUUGUGUUAGUUUCGGUGCAAGAUAGGUGCACGGUUUGCACCUAAUGCACCAUAGGAUAAGAAACCAUUUUGGACGCACCCCGAUGGUACUCCUAGGUCAAGGGGCUCAAGUGAAAGCUCGGUUUGGUCUGUUUGGAUAUAGUGCUAAUCUUGAUGCAAGAUAGAUGCACGGUUUGCAUGGAACAUACGAUAUGCUCAGGAAUCAAUUAGGACACACCUGAUAUAACUCCUUGAUGAUGUGUGUCGUAUGGAAUCUUGCUUCGAUUCGUUUAGAGACAGUAUUAGUUUUUCUAUAAGAUAUGUGCAUGGUUUACGCCUAAUGCACCAUAGGCUAAGAAACCAUUUUAGACACACCCGAUGGUACUCGUAGUUGAAGAGGCUCAAGUGGAGGCUCGAUUUGGUCUGUUCGGAUAUAGUGCUAAUCUUGAUGCAACAUAGUUGGACAGUUUGCAUGGAACGUACCAUAUGUUAAGAAAUCAAUUUGGACACACCUAAAGGAACACAAUGACGUGUGUCAUAUGGAAUCUCGCUUCGGUCUGUUUGGAGACAAUGUUAGUUUUGGUGCAAGAUAGGUGCAUAGUUUGUGCCUAAUGCACCAUAGUCUAAGAAACCAUUUUUCAUGCAACUGUUUGUACUCCUAGAUGAAGAGCCUCAAGUGGAAGCUCAGUUCGGUCUGUUUGGAGAUAGUGUUAAUCUUGAUGCAAGAUAGAUAGGUGCACGGUUUGCAUGGAACAUACCAUAUGCUUGGAAAUCAAUUUGUAUGCACCCGAUGGAACUCCUUGAUGACCUGUGUCAUAUGGAAUCUUGCUUUGGUCUGUUUAGAAACAAUGUUAGUUUCCGUGCAAGAUAUGUGCAUGGUUUGCGCCUAAUGCACCAUAGUUUAAGACACCAUUUUGGAAGCACCUGUUGGUAGUUCGGUGAAGAGGCUCAAGUGGAAGCUCGGUUUGAUCUGUUUGGAGAUAGUGCUAAACUUGAUGCAAGAUAGAUGCACGGUCUGCAUCGAACAUACCAUAUGCUUAGAAAUUAAUUUGGACACAAACAAAAGAACUCCUUGAUGACGUGUGUCAUAUGGAAUCUUGCUUCGGUUCGUUUGUAGACAUUGUAAGUUUUAGUGCAAGAUAUGUGCACGGUUUGCGCCUAACACACCAAAGUCUAAAAAACUAUUUUGCAAGCACGUGUUGGUACUCCUAGGUGAAGAGGCUCAAGUGGAGGCUCUGUUCGGUCUGUUUAGAGAUAAUGCUAAUGUUGAUGCAAGAUAGGUGCACGAUUUGCAUGGAACAUACCAUAUGCUCAAAAAUCUAUUUGGAUGCACCAGAUGGAACUCCUAGAUGACAUGUGUCAUAAGGAAUCUCACUUCGGUCCGUUUAGAGACUGUGUUAGUUUCGGUGCAAUGGACACAAACAAUAGAACUCCUUGAUGACGUGUGUCAUAUGGAAUCUUGCUUCGGUUCGUUUGCAGACAUUGUAAGUUUUAGUGCAAGAUAGGUGCACAGUUUGCGUCUAAUGCACCAUAGUCUAAGAAACCAUUUUGGACGCACUGUUUGGUACUCCUUGGUGAAGAGGCUCAAGUGGAAGCUUGGUUCGGUCAGUUUGGAGAUAGUGCUAAUCCUUAUGCAAGGUACGUGAAUGGUUUGCAUGGAACAUACCAUAUGCUUGGAAAUCAAUUUCGAUGCACCCGAUGGAACUCCUUGAUGACGUGUGUCAUAUGGAAUCUCGCUUCGGUCCAUUUGAGACAUUGUUAGUUUCGGUGCAAGAUAGAUGCACAGUUUGCACCUAAUGCACCAUAGUCUAAGAAACCAUUUUGGACGCACUUGUUGGUACUCCUAGGUGAAGGGGCUCAAGUGGAUGCUUGGUUCGGUCUGUUUGGAGAUAGUGCUAAUCUUGAUGCAAGGUAGGUGCAUGGAACAUACCAUAUGCUUGGAAAUCAAUGUGAUGCACCCGGUGGAACUCCUUGAUAAUGUGUGUCAUAUGGAAUCUCUCUUUGGUCUGUUUAGAAACAGUGUUAGUUUCGGUGCAAGAUAUGUGCAUGAUUUGCGCCUAAUGCACCAUAGUCUAAGAAACCAUUUUGGAAGCACCUGUUGGUACUUCGGUGAAGAGGCUCAAGUGGAAGCUCGGUUUGAUCUGUUUGGAGAUAGUGCUAAUCUUGAUGCAAUAUAGAUACACGGUCUGCAUGGAACGUACCAUAUGAUUAGAAAUUAAUUUGGACACACCCGAUAGAACUCCUUGAUGACGUGUGUCAUAUGGAAUCUCGCUUUGGUGUGCUUAGAGAUAGUAUUAGUUUCGAUGCAAGAUAUGUGCACGAUUUGCGCCUAAUGCACCAAAGUCUAAAAAACCAUUUUGGAAGCACCUGUUGGUACUCCUAGGUGAAGAGGCUCAAGUGGAGGCUCUGUUCGGUGUGUUUAGAGAUAAUGCUAAUGUUGGUGCAAGAUAGGUGCACGAUUUGCGUGGAACAUACCAUACGCUCAGAAAUCUAAUUGGAUGCACCAGAUGGAACUCCUAGAUGACAUGUGUCAUAAGGAGUCUCACUUCGGUCCGUUUAGAGACUGUGUUAGUUUCGGUGCAAGAUAAGUGCACGGUUUGCACCUAAUGCACCAUAGGAUAAGAAACCAUCUUGGACGCACCCCGAUGGUACUCCUAGGUCAAGGGGCUCAAGUGAAAGCUCGGUUUGGUCUGUUUGGAGAUAGUGCUAAUCUUGAUGCAAGAUAGAUGCACGGUUUGCAUGGAACAUACGAUAUGCUCAGAAAUCAAUUUGGACACACCAGAUAUAACUCCUUGAUGAUGUGUGUCAUAUGGAAUUUUGCUUCGAUUCGUUUAGAGACAGUGUUAGCUUUAGUAUAAGAUAUGUGCAUGGUUCACGUCUAAUGCACUAUAGGCUAAGAAACCAUUUUAGACACACCCGACGGUACUCGUAGUUGAAGAGGCUCAAGUGGAGGCUCGAUUUGGUCUGUUCGGAUAUAGUGCUAAUUUUGAUGCAACAUAGUUGGACAGUUUGCAUGGAACGUACCAUAUGUUAAGAAAUCAAUUUGGACACACCUAAAGGAACUCCUAGAUGACGUGUGUCAUAUGGAAUCUCGCUUCGGUCUGUUUGGAGACAAUGUUAGCUUUGGUGCAAGGUAGGUGCAUAGUUUGUGCCUAACGCACCAUAGUCGAAGAAACCAUUUUUGAUGCAACUGUUUGUACUCAUAGAUGAAGUGGCUCAAGUGGAAGCUCGGUUCGGUCUGUUUGGAGAUAGUGCUAAUCUUGAUGCAAGAUAGGUGCACGGUUUGCAUGGAACAUACCAUAAGCUUGGAAAUCAAUUUGUAUACACCGGAUGGAACUCCUUGAUGACCUGUGUCAUAUGGAAUCUCGCUUUGGUCUGUUUAGAAACAAUGUUAGUUUCGGUGCAAGAUAUGUGCAUGGUUUGCGCUUAAUGCACCAUAGUUUAAGAAACCAUUUUGGAAGCACCUGUUGGUAGUUCGGUGAAGAGGCUCAAGUGGAAGCACGGUUUGAUCUGUUUGGAGAUAGUGCUAAACUUGAUGCUAGAUAGAUGCACAGUAUGCAUGGAACAUACCAUAUGCUUAGAAAUUAAUUUGGACACAAACAAUAGAACUCCUUGAUGACGUGUGUCAUAUGGAAUCUCGCUUUGGUGUGCUUAGAGAUAGUAUUAGUUUCGGUGCAAGAUAGGUGCACAGUUUGCGCCUAAUGCACCAUAGUCUAAGAAACCAUUUUGGACGCACUGUUUGGUACUCCUUGGUGAAGAGGCUCAAGUGGAAGCUUGGUUCGGUCAGUUUGGAGAUAGUGCUAAUCUUUAUGCAAGGUAGGUUCAUGGUUUGCAUGGAACAUACCAUAUGCUUGGAAAUCAAUUUCGAUGCACCCGAUGGAACUCCUUGAUGACGUGUGUCAUAUGGAAUCUCGCUUCGGUCCAUUUGGAGACAUUGUUAGUUUCGGUGCAAGAUAGGUGCACAGUUUGCACCUAAUGCACCAUAGUCUAAGAAACCAUUUUGGACGCACUUGUUGGUACUCCUAGGUGAAGGGGCUCAAGUGGAUGCUCGGUUCGGUCUGUUUGGAGAUAGUGCUAAUCUUGAUGCAAGGUAGGUGCACGGUUUGAAUGGAACAUACCAAAUGCAUGGAAAUCAAUUUGGACGCACAUGAUGGAACUCCUAGAUGACGUGUGUCAUAUGGAAUCUCCGUUUGGUCUGUUUAGAAACAGUGUUAGUUUCGGUGCAAGAUAUGUGCAUGGUUUGCGCCUAAUGCACCAUAGUCUAAGAAACCAUUUUGGAAGCACCUGUUGGUACUUUGGUGAAGUGGCUCAAGUGGAAGCUCGGUUUGAACUAUUUGGAGAUAGUGCUAAUCUUGAUGCAAGAUAGGUGCAUGAUUUGCAAGGAACGUACCAUAUGCUUAGAAAUCAAUUUGGACGCACCCAAUGGAACUCCUAGAUGACGUGUGUCAUAUGGAAUCUUGCUUCGGUCCGUUUGUAGACAUUGUAAGUUUUAGUGCAAGAGAGGUGCACAGAUUGCGCCUAAUGCAUCAUAGUCUAAGAAACCAUUUUGGAAGCACGUGUUGGUACUCCUAAGUGAAGAGGCUCAAGUGGAGGCUCGGUUCGGUCUGUUUAGAGAUAGUGCUAAUCUUGAUGCAAGAUACGUGCACAAUUUGCAUGGAACAUACCAUUAUCUCAGAAAUCAAUAUGGACGCACCAGAUGGAUCUCCUAGAUGAUAUGUGUCAUAUGGAAUCUCACUUCGGUCUGUUUAGAGACAGGAUUACUUUCAGUGCAAGAUAGGUGCACGGUUUGCACCUAAUGCACCAUAGGAUAAGAAACCAUUUUGGACGCACCCGAUGGUACUCCUAGGUCAAUGGGCUCAAGUGAAAGCUCAGUUUGGUCUGUUUGGAGAUAGUGCUAAUCUUGAUGCAAGAUAGAUGCACGGUUUGCAUAGAACAUACGAUAUGCUCAGAAAUCAAUUAGGACGCACCUGAGAUAACUCCUUGAUGAUGUGUGUCAUACGGAAUCUUGCUUUGGUUUGUUUAGGGACAGUGUUACUUUUGGUAGAAGAUAUGUGCAUGGUUUACGCCUAAUGCACCAUAGGCUAAGAAAUCAUUUUAGACGCACCCGAUGGUACUCGUAGUUGAAGAGGCUCAAGUGGAGGCUCGAUUUGGUCUGUUCAGAUAUAGUGCGAAUCUUGAUGCAAGAUAGUUGCAUGGUUUGCAUGGAACGUACCAUAUGCUCAGAAAUCAAUUUGGACGCACUAGAUGGAACUCCUAGAUGACAUGUGUCAUAUGGAAUCUCACUUCGGUCCGUUUAGAGACUGUGUUACUUUCGGUGCAAGAUAGGUGCACGGUUUGCACCUAAUGCACCAUAGGAUAAGAAACCAUUUUGGACACACCCAAUGGUACUCCUAGGUCAAGGGGCUCAAGUGAAAGCUCAGUUUGGUCUGUUUGGAGAUACGAUAUGCUCAGAAAUCAAUUAGGACGCAGCUGAUAUAACUCCUUGAUGAUGUGUGUCAUAUGGAAUCUUGUUUCGGUUCAUUUAGAGACAGUGUUAGUUUUGGUAGAAGAUAUGUCCACGAUUUACACCUAAUGCAGCAUAGGCUAAGAAACCAUUUUAGACAUACCCGAUGGUACUCGUAGUUGAAGAGGCUCAAGUGGAGGCUCGAUUUGGUCUAUUCAGAUAUAGUGCUAAUCUUGAUGCAAGAUAGUUGCACAGUUUGCGUGGAACAUACCAUAUGUUAAGAAAUCAAUUUGGACGCACCCAAUGGAACACCUAGAUGACGUGUGUCAUAUGGAAUCUCGCUUCGGUGUGUUUGGAGACAAUGUUAGUUUCGGUGCAAGAUAGGUGCAUAGUUUGUGCCUAAUGCACCAAAGUCUAAGAAACCAUUUUGAAAGCACCUGUUGGUACUCCUAGGUGAAAAGGCUCAAGUGGAGGCUCGGUUCAGUCUGUUUAGAGAUAGUGCUAAUCUUGAUGCAAGAUAGGUGUACGAUUUGCAUGGAGAAAAACCAUAUGCUCAGAAAUCAAUUUGGACGCACUAGAUGGAACUCCUAGAUGACAUGUGUCAUAUGGAAUCUCACUUCGGUCCGCUUAGAGGCAGUGUUAGUCCGGUGCAAAAUAGGAGCACGAUUUUCACCUAAUGCACCAUAGGAUAAGAAACCAUUUUGGAUGCACCCGAUGGUACUGCUAGGUCUAGGGGCUCAAGUGAAUACUCGGUUUGGUCUGCUUGGAGAUAGUGCUAAUCUUGAUGCAAGAUAGAUGCACGGUUUGCAUGGAACAUACGAUAUGCUCAGAAAUCAAUUAGGACGCACCUGAUAUAACUCCUUGAUGUUGUGUGUCAUAUGGAAUCUUGCUUUGGUUUGUUUCAUGACAGUGAUAGUUUUGGUAGAAGAUAUGUGCACGGUUUACGCCUAAUGCACCAUAGGCUAAGAAACCAUUUUAGACGCACCUGAUGGUACUCGUGGUUGAAGAGGCUCAAGUGGAGGCUCGAUUUGGUCUCUUCGUAUAUAGUGCUAAUCUUGAUGCAAGAUAGUUGCACAGUUUGCAUGGAACGUACCAUAUGUUUAGAAAUCAAUUUGGAAGCACCCAAUGGAACUCCUUGAUGAUGCGUGUCAUAUGGAAUCUCGCUUCAGUCUGUUUGGAGAUAAUGUUAGUUUUGGUGCAAGAUAAAUGCAUAGUUUGUGCCUAAUGCACUAUAGUCUAAGAAACCAUUUUUGACGAACCUGUUUGUACUCCUAGAUGAAGAGGCUCAAGUGGAAGCUCAGUUCGGUCUGUUUGGAGAUAGUGCUAAUCUUGAUGCAAAAUAGGUGCACGGUUUGCAUGGAACAUACCAUAUGCUUAGAAAUAUUUGGAUGCACCUGAUGUGACUCCUUGAUGAAAUGUGUCAUAUGGAAUCUCGCUUUGGUCUGAUUAAAAACAAUGUUAGUUUCGGUGCAAGAUAUGUGCAUGGCUUGCGCCUAAUGCACCAUAGUCUAAGAAACUAUUUUGGAAGCACCUGUUGGUACUUCGGUGAAGAGGCUCAAAUGGAAGCUUGGUUUGAUCUAUUUGGAGAUAGUGCUAAUCUUGAUGUAAGAUAGGUGCACGAUCUACAAUGAACAUACCAUAUGCUUAGAAAUCAAUUUUAAUGCACCAAAUGGAACUCCUAGAUGACGUGUGUCAUAUGGAAUCUUGCUUCGGUCUGUUUGUAGACAUUGUAAGUUUUAGUGCAAGAUAGGUGCACAGUUUGCGCCUAAUGCACCAUAGUCUAAGAAACCAUUACGGACGCACUAUUUGGUACUCCUGGGUGAAGAAGCUCAAGUGAAAGCUUGGUUCGGUCAGUUUGGAGAUAGUGUUAAUCCUUAUGCAAGGUAGUUGCAUGGUUUGCAUGGAACGUACCAUAUGCUCAGAAAUCAAUUUGGACGCACUAGAUGGAACUCCUAGAUGACAUGUGUCAUAUGGAAUCUCACUUCGGUCCGUUUAGAGACUGUGUUACUUUCGGUGCAAGAUAGGUGCACGGUUUGCACCUAAUGCACCAUAGGAUAAGAAACCAUUUUGGACACACCCAAUGGUACUCCUAGGUCAAGGGGCUCAAGUGAAAGCUCAGUUUGGUCUGUUUGGAGAUACGAUAUGCUCAGAAAUCAAUUAGGACGCAGCUGAUAUAACUCCUUGAUGAUGUGUGUCAUAUGGAAUCUUGUUUCGGUUCAUUUAGAGACAGUGUUAGUUUUGGUAGAAGAUAUGUCCACGAUUUACACCUAAUGCAGCAUAGGCUAAGAAACCAUUUUAGACAUACCCGAUGGUACUCGUAGUUGAAGAGGCUCAAGUGGAGGCUCGAUUUGGUCUAUUCAGAUAUAGUGCUAAUCUUGAUGCAAGAUAGUUGCACAGUUUGCGUGGAACAUACCAUAUGUUAAGAAAUCAAUUUGGACGCACCCAAUGGAACACCUAGAUGACGUGUGUCAUAUGGAAUCUCGCUUCGGUGUGUUUGGAGACAAUGUUAGUUUCGGUGCAAGAUAGGUGCAUAGUUUGUGCCUAAUGCACCAAAGUCUAAGAAACCAUUUUGAAAGCACCUGUUGGUACUCCUAGGUGAAAAGGCUCAAGUGGAGGCUCGGUUCAGUCUGUUUAGAGAUAGUGCUAAUCUUGAUGCAAGAUAGGUGUACGAUUUGCAUGGAGAAAAACCAUAUGCUCAGAAAUCAAUUUGGACGCACUAGAUGGAACUCCUAGAUGACAUGUGUCAUAUGGAAUCUCACUUCGGUCCGCUUAGAGGCAGUGUUAGUCCGGUGCAAAAUAGGAGCACGAUUUUCACCUAAUGCACCAUAGGAUAAGAAACCAUUUUGGAUGCACCCGAUGGUACUGCUAGGUCUAGGGGCUCAAGUGAAUACUCGGUUUGGUCUGCUUGGAGAUAGUGCUAAUCUUGAUGCAAGAUAGAUGCACGGUUUGCAUGGAACAUACGAUAUGCUCAGAAAUCAAUUAGGACGCACCUGAUAUAACUCCUUGAUGUUGUGUGUCAUAUGGAAUCUUGCUUUGGUUUGUUUCAUGACAGUGAUAGUUUUGGUAGAAGAUAUGUGCACGGUUUACGCCUAAUGCACCAUAGGCUAAGAAACCAUUUUAGACGCACCUGAUGGUACUCGUGGUUGAAGAGGCUCAAGUGGAGGCUCGAUUUGGUCUCUUCGUAUAUAGUGCUAAUCUUGAUGCAAGAUAGUUGCACAGUUUGCAUGCAACAUACCAUAUGUUAAGAAAUUAAUUUGGAAGCACCCAAUGGAACUCCUUGAUGAUGCGUGUCAUAUGGAAUCUCGCUUCAGUCUGUUUGGAGACAAUGUUAGUUUUGGUGCAAGAUAGGUGCAUAGUUUGUGCCUAACGCACCAUAGUCUAAGAAACCAUUUUUGACACACCUGUUUGUACUCCUAGAUGAAGAGGCUCAAGUGGAAGCUCAGUUCGGUCUGUUUGGAGAUAGUGCUAAUCUUGAUGCAAGAUAGGUGCACGGUUUGCAUGGAACAUACCAUAUGCUUUGAAAUCAAUUUGGAUGCACCUGAUGUGACUCCUUGAUGAAAUGUGUCAUAUGGAAUCUCGCUUUGGUCUAUUUAGAAGUAGUGUUAGUUUCGGUGCAAGAUAUGUGCAUGGCUUGCGCCUAAUGCACCAUAGUCUAAGAAACUAUUUUGGAAGCAUCUGUUGGUACUUCGGAGAAGAGGCUUAAGUGGAAGCUCGGUUUGAUCUGUUUGGAGAUAGUCCUAAUCUUGAUGCAAGAUAGGUGCAUGAUUUCCAAGGAACAUACCAUAUGCUUAGAAAUCAAUUUGGACGCACCCAAUGGAACUCCUAGAUGACGUGUGUUAUAUGGAAUCUUGCUUCGGUCCAUUUGUACACAUUGCAAGUUUUAGGGCAAGAUAGGUGCAUAGUUUGCGCCUAAUGCACCAUAGUCUAAGAAACCAUUUUGGACGCACUUGUUGGUACAAAUAGCCGAAGGGGCUCAAGUGGAUGCUCGGUUCUUUCUGUUUGGAGAUAGUGCUAAUCUUGAUGCAAGAUAGGUGCACGGUUUACAUGGAACGUACCAAAUGCUUGGAAAUCAAUCUAGACGCACAUGAUGGAACUCCUAGAUGACGUGUGUCAUACAAAAUCUUACUUUGGUCUGUUUGGAGACAGUGUUAGUUUCGAUGAAAGAUAGGUACAAGGUUUGCACAUAAUGCAGCAUAGGCUAAGAAACCAUUUUGGACUCACUCGAUGGUACUCCUAGGUAAAAGGCUCAAGUGAAAGCUUGGUUUGGUCUAUUUGGAGAUGUGCUAAUCUUGAUGCAAGAUAGAUCCAUGGUCUGCAUGGAACGUACCAUAUGCUUAGAAAUUAAUGUGGACACACCCGACAGAACUCCUUGAUGACGUGUGUCAUAUGGAAUCUCGCUUUGAUGUGCUUAGAGACAGUAUUAGUUUUGGUGCAAGAUAUGUGCACUGUUUGCGCCUAAUGCAGCAAAGUCUAAGAAACCAUUUUGGAAGCACCUGUUGGUACUCCUAGGUGAAGAGGCUCAAGUGGAGGCUCAGUUCGGUCUGUUUAGAGAUAGUGCUAAUCUUGAUGCAAGAUAGGUGCACGAUUUGCAUGGAACAUACCAUAUGCUCAGAAAUCAAUUUGGAUGCACCAGAUGGAACUCCUAGAUGACAGUGUUAGUUUCGGUGCAAGAUAGGUGCACAGUUUGCACCUAAUGCACCAUAGAAUAAGAAACCAUUUUGGGCGCACCCGAUGGUACUCCUAGGUCAAGGGGCUCAAGUGAAAGCUCGGUUUGGUCUGUUUGGAGAUAGUGCUAAUCUUGAAGCAAGACAGAUGCACGGUUUGCAUGAAACAUACGAUAUGCUCAGAAAUCAAUUAGGACGCACCUGAUAUGACUCCUUGAUGAUGUGUGUCAUAUGGAAUCUUGCUUCGGUUCAUUUAGAGAGAGUGUUAGUUUUGGUAGAAGAUAUGUGCACGGUUUACGCCUAAUGCACCAUAGGCUAAGAAACCAAUUUAGACGCACCUGAUGGUACUCGUAGUUGAAGAGUCUCAAGUGGAGGCUCGAUUUGGUCUGUUCGGAUAUAGUGCUAAUCUUGAUGUAAAAUAGUUGUACAGUUUGCAUAGAACGUUCCAUAUGUUAAGAAAUUAAUUUGGACGCACCCAAUGGAACUCCUAGAUGACGUGUGUCAUAUGGAAUCUCGCUUCGGUCUGUUUGGAGACAAUGUUAGUUUUGGUGCAAGAUAGGUGCAUAGUUUGUGCCUAAUGCACCAUAGUAUAAGAAACCAUUUUUGAUGCACCUGUUUGUACUCCUAGAUGAAGAGGCUCAAGUGGAAGCUCGGUUCGGUCUGUGUGGGGAUAGUGUUAAUAUUGACGCAAGAUAGGUGCGCGGUUUGCAUGGAACAUACCAUAUGCUUGGAAAUCAAUUUGGAUGCACCCGACGGAACUCCUUGAUGACGUGUGUAAUAUGGAAUCUCACUUUGGUCUAUUUGGAAAUAGUGUUCGUUUCGAUGCAAGAUAUGUGCAUGGUUUGCGCCUAAUGCACCAUAGUCUAAGAAACCAUUGUGGAAGCACCUGUUGGAUCUUUGUUUAAGAGGCUCAAGUGGAAGCUCGGUUUGAUCUGUUUGGAGAUAGUGCUAAUCUUGAUGCAACAUAGGUGCAUGAUUUGCAAGGAACAUACAAUAUGCUUCGAAAUCAAUUUGGACGCACCCAAUGGAACUCCUAGCUGAUGUGUGUCAUAUGGAAUCUUGCUUCGGUUCAUUUGUAGACAUUGUAUGUUUUAGUGCAGGAUAGGUGCACAGUUUGCGCCUAAUGCACCAUAGUCUAAGAAACCAUUUUGGACGCACUAUUUGGUACUCGUGGUUGAACAGGCUCAAAUGGAAGCUUGGUUUGGUCAGUUUGGAGAUAGUGCUAAUCCUUAUGCAAGGUAGGUGCAUGGUUUGCAUGGAACAUACCAUAUGCUUAGAAAUCAAUUUGGAUGCACCUGAUGGAACUCCUUGAUGACGUGUGCUAUAUGGAAUCUCGCUUCGGUCCACUUGGAGACAUUGUUAGUUUCGGUGCAAGAUAGGUGCCCAGUUUGCACCUAAUGCACCAUAGUCUAAGAAACCAUUUUGGACGCACUUGUUGGUACUCCUAGGUGAAGGGGCUCAAGUGGAUGCUCGGUUCGGUCUGUUUGGAGAUAGUGCUAAUCUUGAUGCAAGAUAGGUGCACGGUUUGCUUGGAACGUACCAAAUACUUGGAAAUCAAUCUGGACGCACAUGAUGGAACUCCUAGAUGACGUGUGUCAUACGAAAUCUUGCUUCGGUCUGUUUGGAGACAGUGUUAGUUUCGGUGCAAGAUAGGUGCAAGGUUUGCACAUAAUGCAGAAUUGGCUAAGAAACCAUUUUGGACGCACCCGAUGGUACUCCUAGGUAAAAGGCUCAAGUGAAAGCUCGGUUUGGUCUAUUUGGAGAUAGUGCUAAUCUUGAUGCAAGAUAGAUGCACGGUCUACAUGGAACUUACCAUAUGCUUAGAAAUUAAUUUGGACACACCCAUAGAACUCCUUGAUGACGUGUGCCCUAUGGAAUCUCGCUUUGGUGUGGUUAGAGACAGUAUUAGUUUUGGUGCAAGAUAUGUGCACGGUUUGCGCCUAAUGCACCAAAGUCUAAGAAACCAUUUUGGAAGCACCUGUUGGUACCCCUAGGUGAAGAGGCUCAAGUUGAGGCUCGGUUCGGUCUAUUUAGAGAUAGUGCUAAUCUUGAUGCAAGAUAGGUGCACGAUUUGCAUAGAACGUACCAAAUGCAUAGAAAUCAAUUUGGACGCACUAGAUGGAACUCCUAGAUGACAUGUGUCAUAUGGAAUCUCACUUCGGUCUGUUUAGAGACAGUGUUAGUUUCGGUGCAAGAUAGGUGCACGGUUUGCACCUAAUGCACCAUAGGAUAUGAAACUAUUUCGGACACACCCGAUGGUACUCCUAGGUCAAGGGGCUCAAGUGAAAGCUCGGUUUGGUCUGUUUGGAGAUAGUGCUAAUCUUGAUGCAAGAUUGCACAGUUUGUAUGGAACAUAUGAUAUGCUCAGAAAUCAAUUAGGACGCACCUAAUAUAACUCCUGGAUGAUGUGUGUCAUAUGGAAUCUUGAGUCGGUUCGUUUAGAGACAGUGUUUGUUUUGGUAGAAGAUAUGUGCACGGUUUACUCCUAAUGCACCAUAGGCUAAGAAACCUAUUUUAGACGCACCCGAUGGUACUCGUAGUUGAAGAGGCUCAAGUGGAGGCUCGAUUUGGUCUGUUCGGAUAUGGUGCUAAUCUUGAUGCAAGAUAGUUGCACAGUUUGCAUGGAACGUACCAUAUGUUAAGAAAUCAAUUUGGACGCACAUAAUGGAACUCCUAGAUGACGUGUGUCAUAUGGAAUCUCACUUCAGUCAGUUUGGAGACAAUGUUAGUUUUGGUGCAAGAUAGGUGCAUAGUUUGUGCCUUAUGCACCACAGUCUAAGAAACCAUUUUUGAUGCAUCUGUUUAUAAUCCUAGAUGAAGAGGCUCAAGUGGAAGCUUGGUUCGGUCUGUUUGGAGAUAGUGCUAUUCUUGAUGCAAGGUAGAUGCAUGGUUUGCAUGGAACAUACCAUAUGCUUGGAAAUCAAUUUGGAUGCACCCAAUGGAACUCCUUGAUGACGUGUGUCAUAUGGAAUCUCGCUUCGGUCCAUUUGGAGACAUUGUUAGUUUCGGUGCAAGAUAGGUGCACAGUUUGCACCUAAUGCACCAUAGUUUAAGAAACCAUUUUGGAUGCACUUGUUGGUACUCCUAGGUGAAGGGGCUUAAGUGGAUGCUCGGUUCAGUCUGUUUGGAGAUAGUGCUAAUCUUGAUGCAAGAUAGGUGCACGGUUUGCAUGGAACAUACCAAAUGCUUGGAAAUCAAUCUCGAUGCACGUGAUGGAACUCCUAGAUGACGUGUGUCAUACGAAAUCUUGCUUUGGUCUGUUUGGAGACAGUGUUAGUUUUGGUGCUAGAUAGGUGCAAGGUUUGCACAUAAUGCAGCAUAGGCUAAGAAACCAUUUUGGACGCACCCGAUGGUACUCCAAGGUAAAAGGCUCAAGUGAAAGCUCGGUUUGGUCUAUUUGGAGAUAGUGCUAAUCUUGAUGCAAGAUAGAUGCACGGUCUACAUGGAACGUACCAUAAGCUUAGAAAUUAAUUUGGACACACCUGACAGAACUCCUUGAUGACGUGUGUCAUAUGGAAUCUCGCUUUGGUGUGCUUAGAGACAGUAUUAGUUUCGGUGCAAGAUAUGUGCACGGUAUGCGCCUAAUGCACCAAAGUCUAAGAAACCAUUUUGGAAGCACCUCUUGGUACUCCUAGGUGAAGAGGAUCAAGUGGAGGCUCAGUUCGGUGUGUUGAGAGGUAGUGCUAAUCUUGAUGCAAGAUAGGUGCACGAUUUGCAUGGAACAUACCAUAUGCUUAGAAAUCAAUUUGGAAGCACAAGAUGCAACUCCUAGAUGACAUGUGUCAUAUGGAAUCUCACUUCGGUCCGUUUAGAGACAGUGUUAGUUUCGGUGCAAGAUAGGUGCACGGUUUGCACCUAAUGCACCAUAGGAUAUGAAACCAUUUUGGAUGCAUCCGAUGGUACUCCUAGGUCAAGGGGCUCAAGUGAAAGCUCGGUUUGGUCUGUUUGGAGAUAGUGCUAAUCUUGAUGCAAGAUUGCACAGUUUGUAUGGAACAUAUGAUAUGCUCAGAAAUCAAUUAGGACGCACCUAAUAUAACUCCUGGAUGAUGUGUGUCAUAUGGAAUCUUGAGUCGGUUCGUUUAGAGACAGUGUUUGUUUUGGUAGAAGAUAUGUGCACGGUUUACUCCUAAUGCACCAUAGGCUAAGAAACCUAUUUUAGACGCACCCGAUGGUACUCGUAGUUGAAGAGGCUCAAGUGGAGGCUCGAUUUGGUCUGUUCGGAUAUGGUGCUAAUCUUGAUGCAAGAUAGUUGCACAGUUUGCAUGGAACGUACCAUAUGUUAAGAAAUCAAUUUGGACGCACAUAAUGGAACUCCUAGAUGACGUGUGUCAUAUGGAAUCUCACUUCAGUCAGUUUGGAGACAAUGUUAGUUUUGGUGCAAGAUAGGUGCAUAGUUUGUGCCUUAUGCACCACAGUCUAAGAAACCAUUUUUGAUGCAUCUGUUUAUAAUCCUAGAUGAAGAGGCUCAACUGGAAGCUUGGUUCGGUCUGUUUGGAGAUAGUGCUAUUCUUGAUGCAAGGUAGGUGCAUGGUUUGCAUGGAACAUACCAUAUGCUUGGAAAUCAAUUUGGAUGCACCCAAUGGAACUCCUUGAUGACGUGUGUCAUAUGGAAUCUCGCUUCGGUCCAUUUGGAGACAUUGUUAGUUUCGGUGCAAGAUAGGUGCACAGUUUGCACCUAAUGCACCAUAGUUUAAGAAACCAUUUUGGAUGCACUUGUUGGUACUCCUAGGUGAAGGGGCUUAAGUGGAUGCUCGGUUCAGUCUGUUUGGAGAUAGUGCUAAUCUUGAUGCAAGAUAGGUGCACGGUUUGCAUGGAACAUACCAAAUGCUUGGAAAUCAAUCUCGAUGCACGUGAUGGAACUCCUAGAUGACGUGUGUCAUACGAAAUCUUGCUUUGGUCUGUUUGGAGACAGUGUUAGUUUUGGUGCUAGAUAGGUGCAAGGUUUGCACAUAAUGCAGCAUAGGCUAAGAAACCAUUUUGGACGCACCCGAUGGUACUCCUAGGUAAAAGGCUCAAGUGAAAGCUCGGUUUGGUCUAUUUGGAGAUAGUGCUAAUCUUGAUGCAAGAUAGAUGCACGGUCUACAUGGAACGUACCAUAAGCUUAGAAAUUAAUUUGGACACACCUGACAGAACUCCUUGAUGACGUGUGUCAUAUGGAAUCUCGCUUUGGUGUGCUUAGAGACAGUAUUAGUUUCGGUGCAAGAUAUGUGCACGGUAUGCGCCUAAUGCACCAAAGUCUAAGAAACCAUUUUGGAAGCACCUCUUGGUACUCCUAGGUGAAGAGGAUCAAGUGGAGGCUCAGUUCGGUGUGUUGAGAGGUAGUGCUAAUCUUGAUGCAAGAUAGGUGCACGAUUUGCAUGGAACGUACCAUAUGCUUAGAAAUCAAUUUGGAAGCACAAGAUGCAACUCCUAGAUGACAUGUGUCAUAUGGAAUCUCACUUCGGUCCGUUUAGAGACAGUGUUAGUUUCGGUGCAAGAUAGGUGCACGGUUUGCACCUAAUGCACCAUAGGAUAUGAAACCAUUUUGGAUGCAUCCGAUGGUACUCCUAGGUCAAGGGGCUCAAGUGAAAGCUCGGUUUGGUCUGUUUGGAGAUAGUGCUAAUCUUGAUGCAAGAUUGCACAGUUUGUAUGGAACAUAUGAUAUGCUCAGAAAUCAAUUAGGACGCACCUAAUAUAACUCCUGGAUGAUGUGUGUCAUAUGGAAUCUUGAGUCGGUUCGUUUAGAGACAGUGUUUGUUUUGGUAGAAGAUAUGUGCACGGUUUACUCCUAAUGCACCAUAGGCUAAGAAACCUAUUUUAGACGCACCCGAUGGUACUCGUAGUUGAAGAGGCUCAAGUGGAGGCUCGAUUUGGUCUGUUCGGAUAUGGUGCUAAUCUUGAUGCAAGAUAGUUGCACAGUUUGCAUGGAACGUACCAUAUGUUAAGAAAUCAAUUUGGACGCACAUAAUGGAACUCCUAGAUGACGUGUGUCAUAUGGAAUCUCACUUCAGUCAGUUUGGAGACAAUGUUAGUUUUGGUGCAAGAUAGGUGCAUAGUUUGUGCCUUAUGCACCACAGUCUAAGAAACCAUUUUUGAUGCAUCUGUUUAUAAUCCUAGAUGAAGAGGCUCAACUGGAAGCUUGGUUCGGUCUGUUUGGAGAUAGUGCUAUUCUUGAUGCAAGGUAGGUGCAUGCUUUGCAUGGAACAUACCAUAUGCUUGAAAAUCAAUUUGGAUGCACCCAAUGGAACUCCUUGAUGACGUGUGUCAUAUGGAAUCUCGCUUCGGUCCAUUUGGAGACAUUGUUAGUUUCGGUGCAAGAUAGGUGCACAGUUUGCACCUAAUGCACCAUAGUUUAAGAAACCAUUUUGGAUGCACUUGUUGGUACUCCUAGGUGAAGGGGCUUAAGUGGAUGCUCGGUUCAGUCUGUUUGGAGAUAGUGCUAAUCUUGAUGCAAGAUAGGUGCACGGUUUGCAUGGAACAUACCAAAUGCUUGGAAAUCAAUCUCGAUGCACGUGAUGGAACUCCUAGAUGACGUGUGUCAUACGAAAUCUUGCUUUGGUCUGUUUGGAGACAGUGUUAGUUUUGGUGCUAGAUAGGUGCAAGGUUUGCACAUAAUGCAGCAUAGGCUAAGAAACCAUUUUGGACGCACCCGAUGGUACUCCUAGGUAAAAGGCUCAAGUGAAAGCUCGGUUUGGUCUAUUUGGAGAUAGUGCUAAUCUUGAUGCAAGAUAGAUGCAGGGUCUACAUGGAACGUACCAUAUGCUUAGAAAUUAAUUUGGACACACCUGACAGAACUCCUUGAUGACGUGUGUCUUAUGGAAUCUCGCUUUGGUGUGCUUAGUGGACAGUAUUAGUUUCGGUGCAAGAUAUGUGCACGGUAUGCGCCUAAUGCACCAAAGUCUAAGAAACCAUUUUGGAAGCACCUCUUGGUACUCCUAGGUGAAGAGGAUCAAGUGGAGGCUCGGUUCGGUCUGUUUAGAGAUAGUGCUAAUCUUGAUGCAACAUAGGUGCACGAUUUGCAUGGAACAUACCAUAUGCUUAGAAAUCAAUUUGGAAGCACAAGAUGCAACUCCUAGAUGACAUGUGUCAUAUGGAAUCUCACUUCGGUCCGUUUAGAGACAGUGUUAGUUUCGGUGCAAGAUAGGUGCACGGUUUGCACCUAAUGCACCAUAGGAUAUGAAACCAUUUUGGAUGCAUCCGAUGGUACUCCUAGGUCAAGGGGCUCAAGUGAAAGCUCGGUUUGGUCUGUUUGGAGAUAGUGCUAAUCUUGAUGCAAGAUUGCACAGUUUGUAUGGAACAUAUGAUAUGCUCAGAAAUCAAUUACACUAUGAGAAACUUGCUAAUCCGUGACGGAUUCUAGGUGACGGAUUUCUAAACCGUCACUAACAGACACAAUCUGUGACGAUAAUUCUUUUCUGUCAUGGAUGUACACCAAUUGGAUAUUCCCAGCCCGCUAAUUCGUGACGAUUUUAUCAAGAUUGUCACGAUGCAUGAUUUAAAAUUCGUCACACUCUAUUUAGCCCAAAACAAUAGGCAUGCUAUCAAUAUUUAGUGCAAAGAAAAAUAAAAAAUGUGAUUACAAAAAGAAUAAAAAAAUUAGCGUAUGUUGCUAUUUUUCUGUCAUAGUCUAGUUAGCCUAAAACAAUAGCCCUGCCAUCAAUAUUUAGUGCAAAGAAAAUUAAAAAAUAUGAUUGUAAAAAGAAUAAAAAAAUUCCACAACACACAGGACGUGAACCUAGCACCUACCGGUGAGCUAUUUGUUCUAUAUAUAUAACUAAAUGUGUAAUUGAAUACUUUUAUUUGUUUUAUGCUCAUGUGCUUUAUUUUUUCUGCCUACUGUGUGUGUAAUUGCUAAUUCACGUUGUAAAUACAAGAAAAAAAAUUAAAAUAAUGCGCCAAAAACUAAACGCAGCGUGGGGCUCGAACCAGGC